rnacentral:lncRNA from 1 species
UUUUUUUUUUGGUACAAUAGAGGGCAAAGCCCAAGAGAAAAGAAACUACGAAAUUAACCGGACAUUCCUAGGCAUGCAAGCCCCGGAAAUAUCAUCAAACAUGAGCUUUCGAAGCUCAAUAGGAGGAGUCUCCAAAAUAAUCAAAUUCAAAUGAUUCACAGAAAUGCUAAAAUUAGCAAGCCAAUCGGCACUUCUAUUUCCUUCACGCCAAUGCCAAUCCAUUCUCAGCAGCUUCCUGAUACGAUGAACUAAAAUAGGCACAUUCCCAUUAAACUUGAACUCGUCAGAAAUCAUGUCGAUCAAUAUCUUCGAGUCACUUUCCACAAUAAGAUGAUCAAAAUGCUCCCUCCAAGCCAUCUCUAUACCCAAAUACAACCCCCACAUCUCAGCAUGUAAGGCAUCACAAGCUCCAAUCUUCUUAGUGUAGCCUUUAAUCCAUUUACCAUAUGCGUCACGAAAAAUACCACCACAAUCGGAAAUAUGACCCAUAUCCUUGCAGGCACCGUCGCUGUUGAGCUUGAUCCAACCUUCCUGAGGUCGUUUCCAUCCUAUGUAGAUAGUGUCUGUAACCUUAGGCCCUCUAUGAAAGAGCUCCAGGUUGUAGUCUUCAAUAUCUCUAACAAAUGUUUGGUUAGUAUAUUUGGAUUAUUCGGCCUUUGGAAAUCCGCUUCAAAGAUAGUCUUGUUCCUCCAUUUCCACAAAUACCAACACGUAGUCAUAAAGGUGGUCUGCCAUCUAGAUGUGCUUGUCCCAACCAUUUUUCUCUUAAGGUCAUUGGAAAACCAAUCCCUACAAUCAAAGGAAAAGAAGUUAGUUAUAAAGUCGGAAGGAACAAUAUGAAGCCAUACAUGAGUUGCAUGAAUGCAAUCACGAAGCACAUGAAGGACAGUUUCAUCAUCAUUUCCACAACAUGGGCAAGUAGGAGAAAUCCCAACACCCCAUCUACUUCUUCGCAAAUUAGUAAGGAUUCGCCCAUGAAUAGCCAACCAAAUAAAAGUUUGAACGCGAUGUGGGCCGUGCCACUUCCAAAGAAUUUUCCAGUCACCCUCCACCGUUGGACAAUUUUGAUGCUGCAGAGAAUAAGCAUUUUGAACUGUGAACUGGUGGGUAUUGGUUCCACUCCACCCAAUAGUAUCAGGACCAUCCUCAUCUGUAGGAGCCGGGAGAGCAAGAACCCUACUAACAGUGUAAUCUGGCAAUGACUUUCUUUAUAUCCUCUGAAAAGUCACUUAAUUGGUCAAGCAUUUGGAGUUAGUUUACUUAGUUUUUCUAUUUGGAAAAAUAUUUUCAAACUGAAAUUAGAAAAGCAUAUCAAACCAAGUUGUUGAUCAACUUUGCUUAAGAUCAAAGUGGCAAAACUCCAUUUUAUUUAAUCUUCUUUUCUAUGAUUUUCUCUAUUUUGAUUCUAUCAAAAUCUGCAAUAUAGUAUUAGAGAGAAUAAUAAUUAUUCCGCAACAUUCUUUAUCAAAAUUUUCUUUAAAAAAUUUCAUUGAAGUCUCGUUGAUAUUCCAAUUUUUUUUCAAGAUUCUUAUUGAGUCCAAUUUCUUACCCAAUUUUUCUUCGUCAUUGUACUCAGUGCCAUUCUCAUCGCACUUAUCUUAUAUACCCUCUAAUCUCGAUCCGUCAUUUUCUCUCAAGACUGUCAAAGGGUCAUGUGACAAAUUUAACCAUCAUGAAAACAAGAACUCCAAAGAACAAGGUCAGUUCCUUAUAAUUGAGGUGAAAUUUUUAAUGAAGAUUUCCAAUUAAUUAAUUCUUUCCUUGUUGUCUUGGUUCGUCGAGUCCUUUCCUUGUUGAAAUUUUUCGACAUUUCUUUUAUGUAUUUCCGAAGCUUGAAGUGUUGUUGUUUACACCUUAAUGUUUGCGGGUACUAUUAUAGAUGCAAAAGUUAGUGUUGUUUACACCUUGAAGUGUUGAAGUUAGUUAAAUUAUUGAAGAGUUUUUUUUUUUUUUUUUUUACAUUAAAUUAUUUAAGAGUUAGUUAGUUGGUCUAAUUGACUAUAUAAAUCUUAGUCUUGAUGUAACAAUUCUCUCAUAAUCAAUAUUAUUUCUAUUUUACUUUUCUAUACUUUUAUCUCAGUUAUGAGUUCUAUAAAAAUUGUAAUAGUAUAUUUUUUUUGUCUUAAUAUAAUAGUCACUUUAAAAUAAGAAUGCAACAUUUAUUUUUUUUCACUAUUAUACCCUUAUUUAUUCAAUUUAUCCAACUUAACUUCUUAACUAACUAAAAUUAUUAUACCCUUAUUUAUUCAAUUUAUCCAACUUAACUUCUUCACUAACUAAAAUUAAUAAGAAUAUUUUAGUAAAUAAUAUUAAUUUUACUAUUUAAAUCAACACAAUUAAUCAUUUCUUUAAAACUCGUGCACAACUCUUAAACGUUUGUUAUUUUGUCCUUGUGAGCUUAACUCAGUUGAUCUAGACAAUACACAUAAUAUAUGUAAGAAAAAAAAAUGUAUGUUAUUUUGAGAUUGAGAGAGUAUAAAAUGAAGUUAUUACAUGCCUAUGUUAUAUUUUUAAGUCCCACAUCGGCUGAUGUGAUGAGUAAAGUAUGCCGGUAAUGUUAUAAAAUGAGAUCACUUCUUUCCUCAUUAAUCAUGGUGGUAUCGGGGUCUAUUUGGUAAGCCUACUAAAUGAGUUUAUAGUUUAUAAACUUGUUUUGAUAAAAAAAAUCUGUUUGAUAACACUUUUUCAUCAAGAGCUUAUAUUUUAUUUCACAAGUUUAUAAGCUAUUUUUUAGAAGUUAUUUCAAGUAGCGUUUGAGCUUAUAGUCUUUCACUAUUUACAUUUUUUUUUUGUGAUUAUUUCAAUAUUUAAUGUCACCUUUUUUUUUUUUUUUGCGAAAUGAGACAUUAAUUUUGUGUGAAAAUAUCAAAAUUGUGGAGAAUAAGAACAUGGACAAUAAUUUUCUCCCACAAAAAAAAUGAGAACGUCACUAUAUAUAUAUAUAUAUAUAUAUAUAUAUAUAUAUAUAUAUAUAUAUAUAUAUUUUUGUACAAACUAUAUUUUAUUUAUUGUUACAUUUAAACUUUUUUACACUUUAUAUUUAAUUUUUUUAGGCAAAUGAAAAAAAUAUAAAUUAAUAUUUAGGAGUUAAAAAUUAAUUUAAUAAUAAUAUUAAAUUAACAAUUUUUAAUUAUUAAAUACUUUAAAUAUUAAUUGAUAUAAACUUUAUUAUGAAUUAAAAAUGUCCUUUUAUAUAAUUUUACAUCUAUCAGCUAUUGAACCGCUAAUUUUACCAAACAUUUCAAGUAGCUUAUCAGCUAUCAGCCAUCAGUUAUAAGUCAUCAGCUAUAAGCUAUUAGCUAUCAGCCAUCAUCUAUAAACUAUCAAGUAGCUUAUAAGCUAUCCACUAUUUUUGUCUAUUCAAGUCCUACAUCAUCUGAUGCAACGAGUAGAGUAAGCCGGUAAGGUUAUACAAUGAAUGGACUUCGUGAAUCAAUCAUGAUGCAUAAGUCAAAGAAUUUCAACUGAAUUAGUUGAAUUUGUUCAAUGCAGCCUAGAUGAGAUGUUCAUAUCUUGAAAAUUUUAAUGGUUUUCUCUAAAUUCUAAUAUGCAAUUGCUAAAUUAGUGUCUUGUUUUUAAUGUUUGGAGAGGUUUUGUCCCAUCGGGCAAAAACUUCUUUGAUUGAUCUUAAAAAAACAACUUCUUUUAUUGAUUGAAUAUUAUUAUUAUUAAAUGCAUGUAAGAUAUUUCUAUAUUUUUAAUUGAACAUAUGAAAUCAAAUAAUUUGUUGAUUAUCUCAUGAGAAAUAUAUAAAAAUAAAUAAAUUGUCAGAGAGAACACUGGAAUACAAGUAACUUUAAGAUGAGUUAAGGUAGCAAUUGGUUAUAGACAUUUUUGCUUUAGAAAAUGUAUCUUAGAAAUGGAUGGUGAAGUGAUUGUAUUUGGGACUGAAAGGAAACAAGACCUACAUUGAUGUGCAACUCAUUAAAGGGACAUUAAUUUCACAUAAGUCCUACAGGUGUGAAACAUCAUACAGACAUGUUGGUAAAGUAUCUUUCAGCUAAUUUUUACAAGCUAUUCAGGAUAACUUAUGAUAAGCACUUAAUUAAGCUAAUUAUCCAAACAGUGGUUAAAUGUAUGGAUUUUGUUUUGCAAUGAAGUGGUGUUUUCUUAUCAGAAAGUUUCAACUGCUUUCAAAUCAACCAAAGGAGAGAAUCAUCCAACAGUUGCUUCAGUUUUUGUAAGGUUAGCUGAUUUAUACAACAAAAUAAGUAAGUUCAGGGAAUCAAAAACUUAUUGUUAAAACGCACUUGAAUCACCCUAUCUAGACAAUAGACAUGAUCAAUAACAUAAGACCACAUGAACAAUUGCAUAAGACCACACCUGCCAGAAUCCAAAUACACGAUAUCAUCAUAUGCAUGCUGGGACUUGGGAAGGAGCCCAAAUACUCUACCAAAUGAAUCAGAAGUAUUCAAAAACAUUGAAAGAGACCAACCUGUUGAAAUAGAAGUGGGAAAACAUUCUCAAAACUUCAAGGCGUCGAAAUUAACCAGAACAACCAAAGAAACUCGAAAAACAAUACUAAGAUCAAGAUUGAAAAUAUAAACCAAUCCAACGGGUCAUUCUUGAAGAGAUCAGUUUGGAGUUGCAACAAAUCUAAAGUUUCUCAGGAUCGCCAAAAUAUGAUAUCAUUCUUUCUUCUUCUUAACCUAAUGGACAUUAUAUUCUAGCUUCUAUUCAUAAAAAGAAUUAUGAAAGGUUAUGCAUUUUUUUGUCAAUGUAUUUAGAAAUUUCGUAUUUUUUUCAUGUUGAAAUUUUUUGGCAUUUCUUUUCUGUAUUUUCCAAACUUGAAGGGUUGUUUGCAUGCGGGCACUACUAGAGAUGUAAAAAGUUAGUCAGAUACUCUCUCCGUUCCAAAUUGUAAUUAGGGUUAAUAGUGUUUUACCCUCCUGUAAUAUAGGUUAUUUCCGGUUUUACCCCCUGUAAAAGAUUUUUUUUGGAUUUCGUCCUUGUAAUUUGAUGAUUUUUGGUUUUGGACCUUCAUGAAUUUUGACAGUACAAAAUCGAAGAUAUGAUAGGGGGUAAACCGAAAUUUGCUCAAAUUAACAGGGGGGUAAACCGAAAUUUUCUCAAAAUACAAGGGGGUAAACCUAAAUUUGCUCAAAUUACAGGGAGUGAAAUUUUCCAUGAAGGUCCAAAACCAAAAAAUCUUCAAAUUACAAGGAUGAAAUUCAAAAAAAAUAUUUUACAGGGGGGAAAACCGGAAAUGACCUAUAUUACAGGGGGGGUAAAGCACUAUUAACCCUUGUAAUUAAUAUUGUGUGGGAAAGAUAUAUUAUGAGUUGUUUUAUAAAAUUAUCCUCAAUAAAUAAUAUGAGAAAGAUAAAUGAAGGAAUUGAAAGAAGAGAUAGUAAUAAAUAGUUAAAGAUAUAAUAGAAAAAGUAACAUUAAUUUUUCAUUGGUAUUUUAAAGCGACAUAUAAUUUGGGACAAAUAUUUCUUCUAAAGUGACAUACAAUUUAGGACGGAGGGAGUAUCAGUGAAAUUAAUUAGGAAUUAGUUGGUUUAAUUUAAUGUACUACUCAAUGUGACAUUUGACAAUACUCUCAUAGUCAAUACUCUCAAUUAUGAAUUCUUUCAAAAAUUGUACUCCCUCCGUCUUAAAUUGUAUGUCACUUUAGAAAAAAUAUUUGUUUCAAAUUGUAUGUCACUUUACAAUAUCAAUAAAACAUUAAUGUUAUUUUUCCGAUUAUAUCCUUAAGUAUUUAUUACUCUUUCUUCCUUCAAUUCUUUCAUUUAUCUUUCUCAUAUCAUUUAUUAAGGAUAAUUUUGUAAAACAACUCAUAACAUCUCUUUCCCACACAAUAUUAAUUACAUUUCUUAAUAUGUGUAAAAUGCCCAAAACGUUAUACAAUUUGGGACGGAUGGAGUAAUGAUUAAGCAUGUCAUAUGCUUGGAUAAAAUAACUUAAAAUCACCAUUAAGAAGCUUAAGUAAAAAAAAAAGUGGGGAUGAGUAAAGUAAAAGGAUAAGGAUACAUUAAGAAUAUUAGUUAUGUAAGAGAAGAAAGACCAAGUGAGUCUUAAGUUGUUGGAAGGAGUCCCACAUCGAGAAACCUAGAAAACAAGUUGGGUGGACAUAAGAUAUUAAAGAGGCAGCAAGGGUAAUGUUUAGUAUCAUAUUAAUCGACUGGAAUAUUUCUAGAUUGAAGAGUAUUACAGAAAGUUCUCAUUCUAACACUUUCUAUUUGAUGAAAUGAAAUUAAUGUAGGUCUCCUUCGGAUCUAUAUUGAUUUUAUCAACAAAAAGAAAAGGGAUUGAAGGUGUUUGAAAGAGAGACUUUCCAAUACAGUGUAAAAAUUGAUCGACGAAUUUUUUUUUUUUUUUUUUUUCUUUUAGCACUAAGCAUGAGAAGGUUUUAAAUCUCGGCCGCGAUCGUGUUAAAGUUGUCGUGAAUUUGGCUAUUAUGCGUGUUAUGUUACAAAUUAUGGUCAUCAUAAUAAAUCAUUUAUUAAUUCUAUCAUAUAAUAUAUAAUAACUUAAAUUGAACUAUUAUUUUAUAUUUUAUAAGAUGUUUGAAAUAAAUAUAUAUAAUAAUUACAACACUAUACAACAUUAAAAUAGGCGAUGAAAGUAUUAUGAGAUACUAUUGACUCAUCACAAUCUCUCGUUAUCUAUUUUUCCUUAGGAACGGUGUUGUGCUUUUCGCUUCCGUAAUGGUGUGUCGCAUUCGUAACGGAGUUUUAAGGUUGUAUCGGCUUUUUGUCAAGGUUGUAACGGACAUUUCGGUUGAUUUUUCAUCUCACCUUAAAAACAGAUAAAAACGGUAUCGGUGACUACCUAUAUCUUUUUGUUGCGGCUGUUUUCGUGGUAACAAACCCGUAUUUAAAACCUUGAGCAUGAGGUUAAAUAAUUUGUUGAAUUCUUAUUUAGCUAGCACUAAGCAUGAGACUUUUCAUUCAAGUCUCAUUGAUCUAUUCCUAUUUAAUUUCUACUUUCUAUUGAAUUCUUGAGUUUCUUUCAAGAUCCUUAUUGAGUCCGAUUUCUCACCCAAUUUUUCUUCGUCAUUGUACUCAGUGCCAUUCUCAUCGCACCUAUCUUAUAUACCCUCUAAUCUCGAUCCGUCAUUUUCUCUCAAGAUUGUCAAAGGGUCAUGUAACAAAUUUAACCAUCAUGAAUAUACAAUAGCUCCAAAGAACAAGGUCAGUUCCUUAUAAUUAAGGUGAAAUUUUUAAUUAAGAUUUCCCAUUAAUUCCUUACUUAUUGUCUUUUUUGUGGGGUCCUUUACCAUCCAAGAUUAGCAACAUUACAUUAAAUUUCAUAUACGGAAAACUCCAUCGUCAUUGUUGCGAAUUCGAUAAAAAUCACACCAAUAACAACUUGAUGUGUGGAUCAAGAGAUAAUCAAGCAACCAAAAUAAAGUGUAUGAAACAAUUAAAUACAAAGCCAAAAGUAUAAAACAACGGCGAGAAGAACACAAUGAAGAGAAGAACACAAAAGAAUUUGUUGACCCAGUUCGGUCCAAAUUGACCUAGUCUGGGGGAGAGAGCAGCCAUCCGUUCCACUAUAUGAUGAGUAACGUUACAAAAGAGAAAUCAAUGGGUUACAAGAAUAAGUCUCCCGCCUAAUUCUACCCAAAGUCCCAGCCUCUUCCAAUAACCAAGAGAGUCAAUCCUAAUAGUGUUUCCCAAGGUGAAUCAACCCUCAAACCCUAGUGUUUGUUCCAAAGAGACAAACUCUAUACAAACCCUAGUUUUGUUGUUGCCUUUCUAAACCCUUGUUUCAACCCUCUCUAUCUCAAAGUUUGCUAUGAUACAAGGUCUAUAUUUAUAGUGAAAGUAAUCCCUUAAAAAACUGAAACAAAUCUUCAAUAAAAAUACGUUUUAUUUUUAUCUUCAAUCGCACCAUCGUGGCACAAUUUUUCCAGUGAUUGCUCUAGAAUUUUGCUUCAACAAUCGUGGCACGAAGCUUCUCCAUCGUGGCACGAUUCUCCAGAAUUCUGAUUUUAAGUUAACUCUCACAAUCAUUCUUCACUAGAAGUCUUGUUUUCAAUGGAUGUGUCUGUAAUCUCAAAAGACUGAUCUUUCUUGAAGAGACCAGUUUGGAGUUUCAACAAAUCAUUUAAUUUGUUGAACUUCACAAGAUCACCUAAAUAUGGUGAUAUUAUUCUUUCUUCUUCUUAACCUAAUUGACAUUCUAGCUUCUAUUCAUAAAUAAAAAUGGAUGGUUAAGCAAAAUUCAUUCUUUUUGCCUAAUUGACAUUCUAACUGUUAUCCAUAAACGAUCUUCGUCAAUGGAGGACUUAGUUACACAUCUUCAGUGUUUGAUUCUUGUUUUCCAAUCUAGAAGAAAUUCAAAGUGAAAAUUUCUCUUGAUUUUGUUAUUGAUUUGAGAACUUAAACAAGCAUUGAAUGUAUAGUGAAUUUUGAUUCUUUUCUUAAGUGUUUCGUUCUUGUUAUCCUAUUUAGAGCAUGUUUGGAUUGAUUUAUUUGAGUUUAUCUAUUGACAUAAACAUCAGUGAUUAAGAGAUUGCACGAAUUCGUGCAAUGAACUAAGUUUUCAAAACGAGUUCACAUUUGCGUAAAGCUAUAACUGUGAAUUUCACCCCAAAGCUGCCAAGAAUUGUGAAGACGAAUGAAUCACAACAAAAGAGAAGAGAAGAUCAUUGACAAAAUCCAUGUGGAGUGGAACAAAUCUUGCUCUUCCCAUUCAGUACAUGCAGGAUUGUCACUUCUUGCUUCGUGAUAUGCUUUAUUGAGAAAAACUAGAGGAAUCUACAUGAUUUCACCAUUAUUCAUUCCACGAAGCACACCUUCCACUUGUUUCCAUUGGAGUUAUUUUGUAUUAUCAAGUUUAACAGGAAACACUUGCUUGAACGUUUUUGAUGCCGCAGCAGUUACACGUUGAGCCUCGGUUGGAGAAGAUGAAAGAGUAGGUUGAAGAGCAGACACAAUUCAAGGAUCAAAGGAGAAGCUCUUAGAUAAACCAACAGUGAUGAAGAAGAGAAAGCUUGAAAAAAUGAGGAGAGAGCUUAAAAACUUGUCAGUUUUGUUUGUAGAUAUCAUCCCUAGAUUUCUCUCAAUGGAAUAAAUUCAAAGAUGCCUUCCUUCCUUGAUUGCUAAAUAAAUCACAAUAUCCCGACGAAGACCAUACUAAAACUUCACGGAUGUGGAAUUCCAAUAACUUAGCUUAUUAUCAACUGCGUUCUUGUAAACGCACGCACACAAACAACAGUAGAGUGAAUUUUCGAAAACCAUGAAAACAAGACAAUAUAGGUUAACUUAAUCAAUAGUUAAUACAUGUUUCAAUGUGAACUGAAGUAAAUAAAUAAAAACAUCAGUACAUAAGAAAAGUGUAGAAAAGCUUCAGAGUUCAUGCUACCAUAAAAGUGACAAACAGCAACCCAACCAUACAAGAAUAUUUGAUUAGAGUGAUGAAAGCUAAGAAAGCCUUACUCUCAAAGACUAAUCACCAAGAAUUUUUGUGCUGAAUUUUUCUCUUAUUACGUACUCAAUUAUCUUGUUUGGUGAUAGAUUUGAAUUCAAUCAUUGUAUAAUUUCUGUGCAAGAAUCUCAACAAAUUGGUGCGGGGAGUGUGGAUCAGUCAUGUUUGCAGAUACCAUCCCCAUCUUUCUCUCAAUGGAAUCAAUUCAAAGAUACAUGGUGUGUGACAGUCAUAAAUGAGAAUUAACUUGACUUAGGUACCUUACAAUUGAAAUUAUAAAGAUUUGAAGUAUGAUGUCUUCAUCUUUUAUGUCUUACAAAUUUCAGGUUUGGAAAUAAUUCAGGAUCAUUAGGAUACAAGAAAAUGUUGGGACUUGGAAAUGAAUCCCACAUCGAGAAACCUAGAAAACAACUGAGUAGAUAUUAUAGUUAAAAGAAGUAGAGAGUGAUAAGUGGUAUUAUCUAAUCUACUGAUAGAAUUAUGAAUAGUAUUAUCCAUUGAUCUAUCUUCAAUUACGCUUUUUUAAACAAAGAGAUUAGUGGUGAGUUCCAUUAAACUCGCACUAUCUCUCAUGAAUCGUGGGUAGUUAGUAGGUAGAUAAAUGGAGAAUACUUGAACUUUUUGCUGGUAAUAUUUUGUGUAUUUAGAACUUAAAUAUGAUACUCAUUCCACCUCUAAAAUGCCCUGACCACAUGAGAUCAAAUAAUUUGUUGAAUGUUCUUAUAACAUCUUUAAUAGUUCUAUCAUGAAACUAUAUUUUGACGUCUUUAACAUUUAUUACAGAUAUGUCAACAUUAACUUAAGUUUUAAAGUUUUUUCCCUGUAGAGUGUAAACCAUUCAUUGGCUAGUCACUCUGGAUACAGAUUCCCUGGAUUCCUCUGUGGUAUACUAUAUGGUGGAAGUAUUGUCUAAAGACAUUUUAAUAAUUAAAUUUAGAGAAUAAAAGUUUUUGAUAGGAUUAUAGAAAAUAUCUUAUGAGGGGAGAUUCAUUGAUGAGUCUCUUAAUGAUAACCAUUUGAACUUCAUUACUUAAGUGCCAAUGAGUAGAAAUAACUAUAAGAUAAUUAAUUAAGUUCAAUUAUAAGUGAAUAUAGUUAUAAAGCUAUCAUAUAUAUGUUAUGAAUACUUUGGUGGAUGUGAAUGUGUCCUCAUGUUUAUCUUCUUCAGUAGAAUGGUCUUACAUUAUUUUCUUACACUUUUAUCAUUUGACUUAUUUGAUGAAUAUCACUCUUUUGUUAGUUGAUAAGUUUCUUACAUUGUAAAUCUAUCAUUUAACUUAUAGUAGCAUGUGAUGAAAGGCAGAAGUUUUGUUAACAGAAACUAAAGAGUACGUAUUGUGAGUUUUGAAUAAACUUCUUUGUAUAAAAUUGUGAAUUAGGCAAAGUGCUUCAAGUUGGAAUGCUUGUUUUGACCAUACUAAAACUUGAGGGACAUGAAACUCCAAUAAGUUAUAAAUCGUGUUCUUAUAAACGCACGCACGCACGGACACACACAAACAAGACAUGAUAUAUAGGUUAAUUGAAUAUAGUUAAUACAUGUUUCAAUGUGAACUGAAGUAAAUAAAAACAUUAACGUGAAUCAAACAUUAAUCUUCAAGUCACUUUGCCAGACACAACAAAAAUAUAGACGAGGGUAGUUGGAACUUGUACAAGUGAUUAAGAGAAAGUGAAUAAAUAGUUGAUUCAAACUCGCUCUCGGAUUGGGGACAAUGAUACUUAACGAUGUCAGCAUCAAUUCGCUUCAAGUGAUUAAGGUUAAGAGAAAGUGAAUACAACGUUGCUACCGAAAGCGAGUUGAAGUCUUGAUCAUAAAUUAGCAACCCGAUUGUAAAAUAAAAAUAGUAGCAUGUGAAGGGAAUAAGUUUUAGUAACAGUCAUGUGUGCAGAUAGCAUCCCAUCUUUCACUCAAUGGAAUAAAUUGAAAGAUGCCUUCCUUGAUGAAAUUAUAAAGAUUUGAAGGAUGUUGUCUUCAUCUUUCAUGUCUUAUAAAUUUCAGUUUGGAAAUAAUUCUAGAAAUAGUGAUGAAGCAUGUCAUAUAUAUGCUUGGAUAAAAUAACUACAAAUAAUUAUUCAUAAUUAUCUUAGAUUCUUGGUCACUGCCAUUUUGACGCUUAAUUAACGGCUUAAGUCAUAAAAUAUGUUUAGAUGGGUGUGUGUGUGUAUAUAUAUAUAUAUAUAUAUUAAAAGGAUAAGGAUAGAUUAAGAUUAUUAGAUAUAUGUGUGAACAUGUGUGAACACAUGAAAGUGGUAAAGCACACUUUUGUGGAAUUACCACAUCCAUGGCAGUAAACAUAUGGCAGUGUACAAGAGUGGGUAAAGCAAUUUUGUUGAAUUGGAAUAGCACAUGUCAGAAGUUUUUUUGACAAAAGAUUUUCGGUGCCACCAUUGUCAAUACAAGUUGGUUGGCUGUUGUGCUAAUGUCCAUGGUGCAUUCAAUGCAAUCAACUCAUGUAACCACUAUAAAUAGAAGGCUUUAGCGAUGAAGCAAACCAUCCCAAAUCAGUAACAACACAAGAACAAGUAAAGCUUGUUUAGAUAGUGAGAGAAAAAAUAUAGAGAGGAAAAAUAGUUUCUCCUGUGAGGUUUCUCCUAGUUUGUGUUAGUUAGUAUUCUCCUAUUUAUAAGAGAGAGUGGUAUUUGUACUCUCCUUGUAGUUAGAGAGAGGUCCUGUAAUUUCUUCCACUUAGUGAAAGUUCUCUACUCUUGCCCCGUGGUUUUUUCCCCUUAUUUGUUGAGGGGUUUCCACGUAAAAUAUUGUGUGUUCAGUUCCUCUUUUCUCGUCUCUUAUUUUAGCUGCGUGAUAAUAUUUUGUUACUCUGGUACCUAACAAUAUGUAUGUAGGACAGCAAUGACUGAAAGAGCAAAUACUCACAAAAUGAUGCUGGGCAGAAGUCCCACAUCGAGAAACCAAGAAAAUAACUUAAUAGAUACUAGAUAUAAAACAAACAAUGGGUCGAACGUUCAAUUCAUACAAUAUAAGCCAUUAGGGCUAAAUUACAAAGAGUAUAGUAAUAAUUUCCUAAAAUAGAAUGGUAGUAUUUUUGAUUUCUGCUUAAAUACUAUUAGCAAAACUUCAGAAUAUGUAUCUUGAACAUACCAUCUAUCCGAGUUAUUUAAACAUAUUAUUUAGACACUCACACAAAAAAAAAAAAAAAAAUUAAUUAUUUAAAAAAGAAAUAUUAUUUAAUUGUUUUCUCUUUAAUUUUUCAAUUGUGGUGUAUGUGUGUUCAAACCUUUGUGCUCAAUUAAAUAUUUUCCUAAAUUCAAUUGCAUAGUCUAUGGUCACAUUGGAUAGCACUUGAGUGAUAUUGGGGUGUCAAUGUCAUGUAAUAUUGGCUAACUUCAAUUUGAGUUUUUCAACUGUUACCUAGAAAAUGAUACUAGUAAAUGAUACUAGUAUGUGGGUUAUGAAUAUGAUGGAACUACGCAAAUUUAUACAAAUUCACCCUCUCAAUAUUCGGGGUUGAUUGAACUUACUGUACAUUAUUUGGUCUAGCACAACUCUUUCUAGUUCAAUUAACAUAGAUACUCGAUCAAACCGGAUACAUCCGUUAUGUGUAUGUUAGAUUUUAAGUAGUCAUUGUUAUUUCGUCUUUAUACAUAGAAAAACAUUGGGUUUGUCAUAUUUAACCACUAUUAUAUUGGUCUAAAUUCAUGUUUCUAAUAAUUAAACUUCGAGAGGAAAAACUUUUUCAUCGGAUUAUAGAAAAUAUCUUAUGAGGGGAAAUUGAUUGAUGCGCGAGUCUCUCAACAAUAACCAUUUGAUCUCCAUAUGUGUAGAAAUAACUAUAAGAUUAUUGAGUUCAAUUAUGAGUGAAUAUAUAUAGUUAUAAAGCUACCAUAUAGUGUAUUCAUUGAUAAAGUGUUUUCAUUUAUAGAUUGUUGGUACCUAUAUCAUUUUUUUUUAUUACAUGUUAUGAAUACUUGGUGGAUGUGAACGUGUCUUCAUUUUUAUCUUCAUCAAUAGAAUGGUCUUCCAACUUCUAUGUGCAUCUUAAUCAUUGAAAUUAGUGGAACACUAAUGACAUUAUCUUAAUUAGACCAUUAAUAUACCUGUAUUUUAUUAGUUCUGUCCUAUAAAUAGGACUCUUGUAAGAAUGUACAAAGAACUUAGUAUUUCUAACUUGGUAUUUCUAAGUUGUUGUUAAACUUGAUCGACAAUAACACAUGAUCGACGACAAAAUAUCAACACCAAAUAUGCUGCAACCAGCAAACUGCAUAGGACCGCCAGAAGGAAAACUCCCCGACACACUAAAAACACACCCAACAGCAACACAAAGCUCGCAAAAAGAGUGCAACAGCUACAAAAACAGAACUUUGCAGACCUGCAUUAUCUACAUCAAAACCUAGAUAUUCAAUUGUCAUCCAUCUGUGAUCCUUCAUUUAUUAACAAGUCGGCUAUUUGAUUGGCUUCCUUUUUUAUAUGAACAAAGCCCACAUCCAUCAAACUCUACAUGUUUUUUCAUUUUGUUGCUCAAGAAUUUCAGAUUAAAUGGACACCCAUCACUACGCCCCACCCAAUGUUAAGCAUUUUAAUGUCCAAUUCUGUACUAAUCUAAUAACCUUUCAACCAAUAUUUUCUGCUGAAAGGACAACUAGACUGCAAAAACAAUUGCCUUAAACUCAGAUUCAUUUGAGCCUUUUAAACCAAUUGAUGUUGCAAACAUCGGCUUCAUCUCACACAAUGAAUUCCUCAGCAGACCACCUAUACGCGCAGCUCCCGGCUUCCCUUUUGACGAUCCAACCACAUUCCAUUUUCAAACAUUUUGUGGAGGGGGACACCGUACUGCUGACAAUCUACUACCAACAAUCUCUUUCCAUGUUUUAAUCUCUUGAAUUUUAUACAAAUGGACCGCGUGAUACACACACACACAUUCUAUGAAGGGUUGGACACUUGAGAGACCACCCAAUCCCCAACACCACAUCACAUUGGUAACAAGCGCCAUGACAACUUCUGAUAAAUCCUAUCCCCCUCUUACGAAAACGCUCCAAAAGAUUGAAAGAAAAACACUCAUCACCUAAUAAAACACCAGAGCACUACCAAUAACAAAUCUUAGGCAUAAAAACACUCACCACCUAGUAAUUCUAACAUAGCUACCUAUAGGGAUAUCAAGGACUCCAUCAUCUGAUCCAAAACCCCAUUAUAAGUUUGAUAAAAAAACACUUGCUAGUUCCAAUCCAUUUGAACUCAAUAUGCAAUAACAAUAUCCUAAGUACUCAAUAUGUCAUACAUCAACAAAUCUCAACACAAGUAUAAUAAUCAUAUACUCAUUAGAGAGAACCUAUCACUAUCACAUUUUCUUAACCACAUACUCAUUAGAGUGCAAGUAAAAUAAUUCUUAGAAACCAUAUACAUCCACAAUGCAAUAAAGAAGGCGCAGUACAGUUUUUAUAAUGGUACUAGUGCAAUGGUCUUUUUUCAUUGGCAAAAUUCCACAGAGAUCGAAGCAAACAUAGAAGUUAACUAAAAAUAAAAACCUUUUCUAAAAGUUUCAACAGAAUGCACUCUGUAGUUUGUGGAUGUAAUGAAUGACCUGUCCUGAAGAAUGAAAUCAUUCAACCCCACGCCUUCCUCUAUAAUCAUUAUAUAAAAGAAGAGCUUCCUUCAUUAUCUCUGGUCGAGCCACCGCUUUGGCUCUUUCUCUACCUGAUGGAUGGCUAACUAAAAACCUUGCAAGCACAGGAUAUUUCACAGGAACAUCAAACAUUGCCAUCUUCUCAUAGUAUUUAGGAGCUUGCCGGGGAUCAUAGCCAACUGCUGCCAUUAGUAGAAGCCCAAUGUAAUCCGCUUCAAAUUCAAACCUGCAAAUUGUGAAUAAAUUGGAUUGAGAACAAGCAAAAAGGACCGUUGGUUUAGAGAAGAUGAAACACAUUAUUCUACUUCCAUACUCCUUGUAAGGUGCAACUCAAAAUAAACCAAAGAAGCCAUGUCAAAUCAUGAUGCUAAAAGGAAGAACAAGUAGUACAAAUAACAAACGUACGUAAGAACACAUGACAUUAAUAAACAAUUAAAGAACAAAACGGUAAAUCAAUUGAUUAGAAAAGAGAGAUAAUGAAUUAAUCUUACCGAUGAUCAAUCCAAUUCCUCACUGUUUGGUAAAAAUCAAUGGUGACAAAUCGAUUAAGCACACGGUGUAUCAUAGAAAUCAACUCGACCUUUGUACGCCUUUCACAGCCAUGCCGUGCCAUAAUAUGCGCAAUCUAAUUAACGAGAAAACCAACGUUAUUUUUUCAACAAAAAAAAAAAAAAAAACUCAAGAUUCACAAUGCAACCGCAACUGCAACAAGGAGUUAUAUAAAGGAAGAUGAUCAAUUACCUCAUGUGCAAGCAUAGUUGCUAACUCUACAUCACUUGGAUGAAGCUCAAUGAAAGCAGUGGAUGCAAUAAUCUUCCCUCCCGGACAAACUAAAGCAGGAAAAUAACGAACAGGGACACCAGUCACGAUCAAAACCUCCCAAUUCAAUCCAUCCAAAUGAGACAAAGAAGGUGGUAGCUUUCGUGUCAUACGCAACCAAACACGAUGCAAAAAGCCAUACUGUGAAAUAUCCUCAGAAAUAGACCUCAAUUUGUUGAUCUCUGAAUGCAUAGAGCCAACAAUAUUUUUGGCGAUCCUUGUAACCCUAACACUAUGAGAAUGUGUUGAAGGUAAUGUCAUCCCUUGAAACUGUUGUUUCCACUCUUCAAACUCUCUCUGACCAGAAAUCCUCUCGGUGGAAGCUUUUGUUGGGUCAAUGAAACGGGUUCGAUUAAUGUAUGGAAUAGUUCCAGGAUUUUGUAGGCGGAAUAAAAUGCGUGGAGAAAUUGCAAUUGAAGCAAAUGAAGCAGCGGCAAGAGUAAAAUAUCUGAGCAUUCCCAUUUCUGUAUGAAGAGUAACCAGGAGCCAUAUUGUUAAUGGUAAACCUCAUUUCAUAUGAUAAAGUAAGUGAGUAAUUAUUUCAUAUAUACAGUACAGAUAUACAAUUCCAAAUAAACCAGCAAACAAAUCCAAGAAUGGAUUCUGAUAUACAUACAAUUCAAGCGUACGAAACAGUAUAUUAUCAUUGUAUAGAACUCCCAACAACAAUGGCAACACACAUACACAUGUUAGCAAGCAAAUAUCUCAUACACAAUCACAAUUAUACAUGCAUAGCAGCAUUAAACAAGUUUAGUUUGUAAAAAAGUUGCUAAGAAAAAAAGUUUAGUUUGUAAAUUACAUAUGAAAAAGAUUAGUUUGUAAAUAAAUUACUUAGGAAGUUCAUACCUUUUAUGUUCAGCACAUGUCAUCACUAAACAAGUUAAUGACAAGAUUUCUAUCUAAUGUCCAUAUCCAUUAGGAUCGUAUUAUGUAUUCUGAUGAAGACUUAAGCAAAAUACAUUCAAAAGAGUUUAAUUUAUAAGACAUAGAUUCCAACUAACAGAAGCUCAUAGUUAUUAUGUAUAAAUUUGAUAUUAAGGUAACAAAAGCUUAUAAACAAAUUGAGCAAACAAACCAAAACUGUCUUCAGUCAAAGUGAAAUACAUAAAGGGAAAAACACCAUUUUGAUCCCUGAAAGUGUAGCUCCCUGUCACAUUGCUCUUUGCAUGCAUAAAAGUUGUAAACACAUCCACAAGUGUCUCUUUUAUUAGCCACUUUGGUCCUCAAAUCUAAUAUUAGUUGUCAGUUUAUUUAGUCAUUGAAUGUGUAAUUUGUUGUUCAAUUUAAUACAUAUAUUACAUUUAUGGCUCGGGAUGUAUUUGCAAUUUUGAUACAUUACAACACCUCACAUAAUCGGGAACCAAAAUGGUUGUGUACCCUAUACAUAAACAAUAACUAAUGACUCUCAUACCAUAGUUCUCUGGAAUCUGGAAAAAGGAUUAAAAAGAAAGAAAAAUAUUAUUACCUGCAAUCUGGAAUGGAAAUGAAUCUGCAAAAAAGGAAAGCAAUUUUCAUCAACGAAAAAUAGAGCAUAGAAAAACAAACAUGAACAUAGGGCAUAGGAAAGCAAAUUUUGGUGUCCAACACCGUAUACGUAUAUGGUAUAGAUACAAUUUUGUUUUUUAAUUAGUUUUUUCUUGGUCUCCAAGUCACAUCCAUCGUUAUAAAUGUAUUAUUAUAUUGUGUCAAAUUUUAGAUGUUUAGAUAACAUCACUCAUUGUGAAAAUCACUCUAAACAAAUACAGUUCAGAUCACUCUAAACAUAUGGAUUCACUAGCAGCAUAAUCACCAGCAUGAGAAGCUUGUCAUUGCAAUUAUUACUUCCAUUUCUUAAUUCAAUCACUAACAAAUUAAAAACACACGCAACAUUUUUCACUCGAAAAUCAAUCUAGUAACAAAAAGCUUUUAAAAUUAACAUGGCAAUGUUGUAACAAACAAAGGGUUGGCUUAUUUUUGAGCUUAUGAAAAAUAGCUUUUGCAAAGUAAUAAAUUUUUAUUUUAAUACAUAAAUUCUCACUAAUGAAAAUCGUAUCUUCAUAAGUUGUUUUUUUCGUAAAUUACCUUGACAAGCUUAUGAAUAAUACAUAAAAGCUUAUUUAUUUGAAUAAGAAGAAGUUGAUGUCAACAAUAAACAGCAAAAGAAGUUAAAUGCUAUAAAAUAGUUGAUCUAAAGAAGGAAAGAUCAAACCUUUAAGCUAAACUUAGUUACCCAGUUCUUGACUAAGUGAAUAAUGGAUAGUAGAAUAUAGAAACAGAGCAAACAAAAAAAAUGAAGAACACAAGAUUGAGAAGAAGUGAUGUUGUUACCUGCAACUUGGUGAAAAGCCCUAACUUUGAGUAGAAAGAAGGGUACUGAAGAGUAGGAAUGGAACAGUGACAGUUGGAUGCAUAAAAGGACAAAAAAACUAGCUAGCUAACGUUGUUUGAAUCAAAAAAGAAAACAUUCCAACAAUUUGGAAUAUGAGACAGGUGGCAUCAAAGGAUGUUACUUUCUGUCUCCUCUCUUCCCACACAACAUAAAUACUACUCCCUCCGUCCCUGAAUAAGUGAUCUAUUUGUAAAAAAUAUUUGUCCCACAAUACUUGAACUUCUCAGAUUUCUAAGCAAAAUUUGACAGAUUUACCUCUUAUAAAUACUUUUUGUGGUCCCCAUAUUAAAGUUUGCAGUGGAACAAAGAAAGUAAUCAUUACUUAAAAUGAAAAAGUUUCAAAAUAAUGACAAGGGCAACUCAGUAAAAGUAUCACUUUCUUUCUUUCAUUUUUACAUUUUUCUUAAUUUGUGUGAAAUGAUGAAAUAGAUUACUUAUUCAGGGACGGAGGGAGUACUAUAUUCUUUCUUAAACUUGCUUGUUUUUUAUUCUUUUGUUUACAUUUAUAUUUUUUUCCCCCUUUCUCACUCAUCUUCAUUAAUAAGAUUAAUUUGAAUUUAUCAACAUGUUAAUGUCUGGUUUAGAAAUUGAAGUUGAUUUUGACGUGUGUGUUAGAAUGAUCAUUUAUCCUUUGUUUAAAUAUUCAGAAGUCCUAGCUCAACUGGCAAAAUGCCGAAAUUGUUAGGCCGGAUGUCAUGACCGGGGUUCGAACCCCGCUACCUCCACUUGUGUGUGUGAGUUUAUAAUGGCUUUGCCAUUCCGUCUAUCUACAAAAAAAAAAAAUAUAUAUUUUAAUGUAUUUGAGAGAGUUGACCCAACAGUGGAUCCUCCUAUUUUAAUUGUAAAUGAUUGAUUCAUCUGAACUGCAUAGCUUACAUGAUCACCACAAAAUCAUAUAAGGAAAUGAUUAAAUGGAGGUAUUCAUGAACAUAUUACAUGUAUGUAUCGACAAUUAUAAAUCAUGUAUGUACCCUUACAUUGCAAUUGAAAUUAUAAGAAUAUGAAGGAUGGAUGUUGUUUUCAUCUUUCAUGUCUUACAAAUUUAACGUUUGGAAAUAAUUAAUUCAGGAUCAUUAGGAUACAAGAAACUGCUGGGACUUGGGAAAGAGUCCCACAUCCAGAAACCUAGAAAACAACUGAGUAGAUAUUAGUAUAAAAGAAGUAGAGAGUGAUGAGUAGUAUUAUCAAUUGAUAGAACUAUGAAUAGUAUUAUUUGUUUAUCUAUCUUCAAUUACAUUUGAUUAAUUAGAGAGAUUAGUGAUGAGUUCCAUUAAAGUACUAUUGCUGCAAUUUAUCAAUUCAUGAUAGAUGUUACUCAAAAAAAGCAUUGAAAAUAUGUAACAAUGUUCCUGGUCAACAAAUUAAGUACUAUUGCUGGAUUAUAUGUUAGGAAACUAUUCUGAAUUUUAUAACAUCUUUAAAAGUUCUGUUGAAACGAUUGUUCUGUGAGCAAGUGUAUCAUACGAAAUUGAAGUGUGUAACAAAGAGAGAUUGUUCAAUUGCAAUGCCACAGUUUUAACAUGUCAAGUAUGGUACAAUCGGAAUUUGAAGUUCUGAAAUGUGCAGAAUAAUAAUUAGAGCUGAGUCAUCUAUUGGAUAUAUAAAAAGAUAAAUUUCUCCAAUUAUGUUACAUGUUUUUAAUCAUUUUGGCAAUUGUUUCUAUCUCAAGUACCAAUGCUAGCUUACAGGAUCACAAACAAAAUCAUACAAGGAAAUUGAGAAUGACUCUCAAGAGAUCAGUGAAAGGAAAUAGGGGAAUACAUAAUAUCAUGUGUCCUUGUAAUUUAAAAAGCAUAGAUGAUCUUUCUUGAUGGCAAACUUAGCAUGGUGUGUGACAAUUAUAAAUGAGGAUUAGCUUGACUAAAGUACCCCUUACAAGUUACAAUUCAAAUUAUAAAGAUUUGAAGUAUUUUGUUUUCAUCUUUCAUUUCUUAUAAAUUUCACUUUUGGAAAUAAUUCAACAAGUAUUCAUGAAGCAUAUAUAUAUGCUUGGGUAAAUUAAUAAAAAUGAUAAGGAUACAUUAAGAUUGACCAAGUGAGUGCCAAGCUGCUGGCCAUGAGUCCCACAACGAGGAACCUAGAAAGCAACUUGGGUAAUAUUUGAUAUAAAACAAGCUGCGAGUUAAGUGUAUCAUCAUAUCAUUUCAUAAAGUCUCAUAAGUUUUCAGGGUUACACAUUUCGGAAGUGAAGAAAAGCCGAGGAAUAUUUAACCAUUGCUUGAAUAUUCCUUUACUUUUCUUUCACUUUUGAAAUUUGUUGUUUGGAAAUAGUAUUGGAAUUGUUACCACCAACAUUGGUAUGGUACUACACCCCAUUAUUAAUUCUAAAGUUUUUUUUUUCAUGCCAUGCAUUUGGCUUAACCGUGAGUCACCCUAUCAAAAUGUAAUAUGUUAGUUUAAUUAUUAAAGAGAGUAAUUCAAAAAUCUAAUACUUCAAUUUAAGAUGCAUUGAAUGCAUAAAUUUUGGUAAAAACUUAAUAUCUAAUGUUCUUAGAGUGUCUUUAAGGCAAGGUGUCUCAUGCGCCCCAAGAAAACAACCAAAUACGUUUACCUGAUUGUCAUACCUCAAUUUUGCCUUAGUCAAAACUUUCAUUCUUUCUUCUUGUUUUCUAAUUUUUUACAAAAAAAAAAUUAACAUUUGACCAAAGUCAACAGUUGACCAAAAAUCAACUUUUCUAAACAAAAGUCAAUCAAUCUAUUUUUUUUGCAUCAAAUGCAUUAGUUGUGAGUUAGAGUAGAUAUUAUAUAUGUUGAAUUCAUAAUUAGACAAUAGUCAUGUCUAUAGAGAUGUAAAACUUAGUUAGUUUAGUUAUGAGUUAGUUGGUCUAAGUAGCUACAUAAGUAUUAAUGUAUUACUUGAUGUAACAAUUCUCUCAAAAUCUAAGGUGUAUUUUCAUUUCACUUUUCUAUAUUUUUCUCUUAUUUAUAAGUACUAUGAAGAAUUGUAAUAAUGCCCGUUAGUUUUAAAUUCAAUAGCUUAUACAGAUCUCUCUCGCAUACCAGCUUCUGAAUCUCUGGACGUUAUUAAUGAGAAAGUAAGAUUAACUUAAUAACUAAUACAUGUUUCAAUGUGGACUGUGACCAAAAACACAUUAGUACGUAGGAAAAGUGUGAAAAAACUUCACUAAGUUCAUGAUAACAAAUUUAUUGAAAAUUCAAUACCAUAAAAGUUCAUGUCUUACAAAUUUCAGGUUUGGAAAUAAUUCUAGAAAUAUUGAUGAGGCAUGUCAUAUGUUGCAUAAAUUAACUUAAAAUAACCAUACACACUUAUCUUAGUCACUACCAUUAAGAAGCUUAAGUCAAAAAAGACGUGUAGAAGAGUAAAUUAAAAGGAUAUGAAUACAUUAAGAUUAUUAAGAGUCUGUAUUAUAAUUAGUUGUUUUUUGGAUAGGUAAGAAAAAUGUUUUGUCUUAUGGGUUAAAUGUUUUUUCUUGUGGAUCCAUCAACAAUUAUUAUGGAUAGAUUCCUUGUUGUAGUAAAUUUUGGCUUCGAGGGUUAGAUUUUAAAAUAAAUUUUAUACAUUAAAACAACACCAAAUGUGAACAUCUCCCGGAACUCGUCCUAUUUAUGGACUAUUUUUUGUGUAUAAAUGAUUAAAGACAAGGAUAAUGUUUCAUGUACACAUUUUUUUUCAUACACACAUUGUACUACUUCAUAUGAGAGUGUUCGAGAGACAAUACAUGUGAGUUUUUUUGUGUGUGGGGGGACCACAAGGACACUUGCCAAAAUUGUGUGUGGAUGUACAAGUGGUACAUGCCACUUAAGGUGGUCUAUGUAUCACUAAAUGGAGUAAUAUGCAUCAUAAAAUGUAUAGAAACCAAGAGAGUACUAUAAGACAUAAGAAUUUCCGUCAUUGAAGUUAGGCAAAUUCUAUGGUACAUCCACUAUAUUUGAGUGUACCGGUACACUCACUCUUUAAAUUCAUAGUUAAAUGAGUUGUUUUUUUGAAGAAUUUUUUUUUUUUUUUUAUCAUUUAUAAUUAUAAUAACUAAAUCUUAUUCAUCAAACGUGUCAACGAAAUAAUUUUUUAUUUUCUUAAAUUUUUAUCAUCAUAAUUGAGAACAUUCAUUAUUUUUUACGAUAAUAUGUAAAAAAAAGUUACUAUGAUUCUUAUAAACAAUUAAAUGAUGUUUUUUUCUUAUGAAAUGUUGUUCUAUGAAAUAUAAAUAUUGAUAAAUAGCUAUUUACUACAUAAAAAAUUAUCGUUCAUUUAUAAAAUUAAGAAGGAAGAGUAUCGGUACACCUUAUUUUGUGAGUGUACCAAGUUCCCUUGAAGUUAAGUUGGAAACUCUACACAUAUUGCCAGAAAUCAACUAACAUACCUAAACCAUGCCUCUAAAAGUAACUCCCACACUAGACAAAUGCCCCCUCCAAAAAUUGUUACCAUAUCUAUACACUCAAGUGAUGAUGUUGAACAAACAUUUUAGGAGUACAUACAACGUCCCAAUAAAUAAGGCUUAGAAGCAUUAUCUUGAUCUCCCCAUAUAAACUUUAUGCAAAUCCGACCAAUAUCUUCACACACAGAUUGAGGUAAAACACAGUUUGCAUAACGAUCCUGUGAGCUCUACGGUCUUGCGAUUGUCCGACUUCGAUCAGCAGCUUCCUUGUCUUAUGAGCGAGGUAGUGUGAAUUCAAACAUUCCGACGAUCAAGUAAGAACGCCAAAUAUGUAGAAAAGGGUGUAACUCGAAGUAGGCAACGAGUUGGCCUUUAUAGUUGUGAACUAUGGUUAUUGGUCCCUCCAAGCUCCAACCAUACUCCAUAUAGCUGUCUAAAGGGGACACUUGUGGACACAUUGGAGGAAACGAGCCUCGGAUCCGGAAUGAGCUGUCGAAAUUGGCCUAUGUGGCCAUGAUUUGAUGGAUUUAGAGGAAGCCCAUAGUGUGGUCUGUGUGUGCAUUAGUGGCUUGAGGUGAUUCGAUCGGUUAAGGAAAUAGGCCUUGAACAUAAUUGAAGAAUAACAAGUCCAAUCAACCCCAAAUAUCAUGCGACAAAUAUUUCUGAAUCGGAAAUGCUUAAAUGCACGACAGGCUUUGUCGUGUGACUUGCAUGACUUUGUAUUCCACUUAUUGCUUUUUCAUAUAUUUUUAUUUAUUUUAAUUAAAACAAUUAUAAAAAAGGGAGUGAAGCCACGUAUUGGUCGUGUGGUUUCGUGGGCAGGAAAUUGUCGUGCCCUUUAGCACCGCUCUUUCUGAAUUUCUGCUUAGAAACAUUUGAUAUUGUUCUUGCGUAGCUUCAGCAUAUUCAUAAUCAUAACCAUAAAUAGGCUGAGGCUCCACUUUUAUGGUAUUGAAUAUUCAUUAAAUCUGUUACCAUGAACUCUGUAAAGCUUUUUGAAACAUUUAUAUAUUAAUUAUUAAGUUAACCUAUAUAAUAACCAACAUGAUUGUAAAAAUAUAGUAACCAACAUUCUAUAUAUAAUAAUAACCAAAAUGAUUGCAAAAAUUGUCACAAAAUGAUUGUAAAAAUAUCAUUUCUUUAAUAUAAUAACCAACAUUCUAUUUUAAUCUUAAUUUCAGAUCUUUAUGCUUCCAAUUUUUCUGAUAAAUGGAAUAUAGAGUUAAGAACUUAUCCUAUAGCCUGUAUGAUUUCCUCUUAAAUUGGAUCUGUCACUCGUAUACAAAAGAAAGUGAUGACAUUUUCUCAAGAUCUGUUGGGAGAUACCAUCGAUCCCCAGAUUUCUCUCAAUGGAAUCAAUCCAAAAAUGCCUUCCUAAUUAGUGGCAGACUUAGCCUAUAAAUGAGGAUUAGUGAUGACAUUGUCGAUAUUAUUAAGAGCUUAUGUCAAAGAAUAUGUGUAGACGGGUAAAUUAAAAGGAUAAAGAUACAUUAAAAUUAUUCUUUCAUUUUUUUUUUCAAUUAUAAAAACUCGAUUUUCGGCCUAGAAUCGAUUAAUUUGAAGGAUCUGUCCCACUGUCUACCAGCGGGAGGCGCAAUUGAAGCUAGAAACUUUUUUUGUAUGGACUAACCCAACAUAAUAAUUGUUGGCACCAUGAAUUCGAAUAUGUGAGUUAAAGAGGGGUACACUCUUAAGUCUCAAGUGUUCCCCACCAUACAAAUCCCUCUUGAUUAGUAGAUAUACAAGUAAUGUUAUAAAAUGGAGUUUUUAUGUGCUUAUGUUAUCCCUUGAAGUCCCACAUCGGCUGAUGCAACAUGUAAGCAAGCUAGUAAGGUUAUAAAAAGAAAGAAAGGACUUCUUGAAUCUCCACUCAUCGAUGCAUAUCUUCAAUCACUUGUAGUUGCAUAUUGCAGCUUAUAUUAGACUUUCAAAUUUGAAAAAUUUGCAUUUUUCACUAUAUUUGAAUAUCUUUUUGUUGGCUUCUUUAUGCAACUGCUUAGUUAGUUUAUUGUUUUUAAUGUUCAUUUGUUAUAUUUUUCUGUUUGUAUGUUUUUUUUAUUGAAUUUUAUUAUUAAAUAUAUUUAUAUUUUUUCAAUGGAAUCAAAUCAAUAAAAUUUACGUAAAAGAUAAAUUUUAGUUUCGUACUGCGAUUGUUAUGACAUUAUACAAUAGAAGAACAUCGUUAAAAUUGGUCACUGAAAAGAUUUUUUUCUUUCUUUUUAUGAUUAAACACCAAAAGGAAAAUCUAGCACUAAACAUAUGAGAUAGAAUAAUUUUUUGAUUACAUGAGAAAUAUAUAUAUUAAAUAAAUUGUCAAAAAACACUAGACAAUACAAGUAACUUAAGAUUGCAAUUGGUUUUAGAGCUUUGUUUUAGAAAAUGUGUUUUAAAAAUGGUUUGGGGUUGAAAGGAAACAAGACCUACAUUGAUGCACAACUUAUUACGGGAACAUUGAUUUUACAUAAGUCCUACACUAAAAAAGUUAGAUCAGAAGACAUUAUGUUAAACCAUUUUAACCAAAAAUGCUCUAACAAAUCUACCUGGUACUUUGGUAGUGCGGAUAGAAGAAGUUUUUCAAAUUGAAAUUGAGUAACUUUGUUGAGAAAAAGUUACCAAGACUUUCCCUUUAUCGCUAGAGUGACUUGAGAGAUCUCUCCAAAUGCUUUAAUGCUCUCCAAAAAUGAUUUGGAAAAGGGUUUGAUGAAGUUACUCAAAAAAGCAUUGAAAAUAUAUAACAAAGUACUAUUGGUGGAAUUGAAGCACAAAUGGGAGUUAUGUAUUAUAUGUUAGAAAACUAGCUUACAGGAUCAACAUUAAAUCAUAUAAGGAAAUUGAGAAUGACUCUAUCACAAGAGAUAGAUGAGGGUAGUUAAAACUUGUACAAAUCAUUAGCACACUACAUUUAUUGAAUUUUCAAAUGAAACCCAAUGUGAAGUUAAAAAUGACUAACCAAGUAAUGCUUUGAACUUUGAUCUAGGAGUGUUUCAUCAUAAAUUGAAGAAGUCUGUAACAAAGAGAGAUUGUUUUAACAUGUCAAACAUAUUACAAUCCGAAUUUGAAGUUAUUUAUUGGGUAAAAUAAUUAUAGCAGAGUCAUCAAAUUACAGUAACAUAUUUAAUGAAAAUUCAAUACCAUAAAAGUUGAUGGCUUACAAAUUUCAGGUUUUGAAAUAAUUCCAAAAACAUUCAUGAAGCAUGUCAUAUGGUUGGAUAAAAUAACUUAAAAUCACCAUACAUAAUUAUCUUAGUCACAGCCAUUAAGUAAAAAAAAUGUGUAGAAGGGUAAAUUAAAAGGAUAAGGAUACAUUAAGAUUAUUAGAUAUAUGUAUGUAGGAAAAGAGAGAUCAAAUACUCUACCAAGGGAGUCCCACAUCGGGGAACCAUUGAAAUCGACUGAGUAUAUAGUUGAUAUAAAAAAAGCAGCGAGUAGCCAAUUUAAAGCUACACCAAACUAACUCCCAAACCAAACUGGAUUUUAGCUAAUAAGCUAUGGGUUAAAAUUGGUGUGGAUUAGACUCGGCGUUAAUUUUAAUUAAAUUUAAUUGGUGCCGAAUCAAAUCAACAUCUAUUUUAACCCAUUGAUUAAAAUUAAGUUUGGGAGUUAUUACUGGAGGGUAGAUGCAAAAUAUUUUUGUCAUGGUUAAUUGCCAUUAUUUAAUAUUUAAUAGAUGUUUUGCUCCUUUAAUUUAUUUUUGAAUUUUAUUUUAGUCUCUUAACUUUAAAUCGUCUCAAUUUGGUCCUAUAAUUUUAACUUUAAAUCGUCUCAAUUUGGUCCUAUAAUUUUACCUCUGGUUAUCUAAGUGGUCUCUUCUAUUAGGUGAAGAUCCUCUCCAUUUGGCAAAAUAAAUGGAGUUUUGUAAGUUGGAGAGAGACAGACAAAAAAUAGAUGGUGGGUCCUACCACUAAGUGGGUCCCACCAUCAUUAAUUAUAUUUUACUUUUUUCAAGAUUUUAUGUGUCUUUAUCUUUCCAAAUUGAAGAAAUGGAGAAACACAUAAAUGGAGAGGAUCUUAACCCCUUCUAUUAAGACAAUUUAAAGUUAAGGGAUCAAAAUAAAAUUUAAAAAUAAGUUGAGGGACCAAAAUAUGUAUUAAGCCUAUUUUGUAUUAAUUCUCGGAGAUUUGUAUUCCAGAUGUGCCACUUUUCAAGUUCUAAAGAUUUGUUAAAAAGCAGAGGCCUAUAUAAAAGGUUAAUGAUGUGUCAAUUAUUUGUGGGACACAUAACCCAGAUUAUUUUGUUUUACUCUUUCCAUUCUUUUUUAAAUGUCACUUUUGGAGAAAUUUUUGUUCCAAUUUAACUGAAAGUUCAAUUCAAUUUUAAAUGUUGUUUUAUCAAUAUUACCCUUAGUUAUUUAUUGCGGAGAGAGAAAUAUAUGAAAUGAAAUAUUAAAUGAAUGAGACAAUUAUAGUAAAAAUAUCAAUUAUUGUAUCAAAAAUAGUAACAUUUAUUGAUUGUCUUAGUUUAUAUAAAAUAUCAUAAAGUGACAAUUAAAAAGGAACGAAUGUAGUAUAUGUUUGCUUACAUGAACAACAUUAAAUCACAAGAUCCCUCAAAAGGAACUCAUGAAAUGUAGAAAUUAAGCAUAGAUGAUUUUCCUUGAUGGCAGACUUAGCAUGGUGUGACAAUUACAAACGAGGAUUAGCUUAACUUUAUUUUUUUGACGGAAGGAUUAGCUUAAUUAGGUACCCUUACAAUUGUAAUUAUAAAUAUUUGAAGUAUGUUGUAAAACAACUGAGUAUAUAUAUAUAUAUUAGUUUGUAAUUUAUCCUUAUAAAUAAAGGAUAUUUUUCUUAUAAAUUGCUUUAUAAUAUCAAUAAAACACGAUAUUUUUCCCUUAUACCUUCAUUAUUUAUUACUCUUAUUCAGUUCUUUAAUUUUAUCUUUCACUCUUUAAUAAUUUUGGCACAAGAAAGGCAGAAUACUCUACCAAAUAACUCCCAAGCUUAUUAUAAACCCCAUAUAAGCUCUUCAGGAUUACUUAUGAUAAGAACUUUUACUAUAAACACUUAGUUAAGCUAUUUAUAGUAACAGUGGUCAAAUGUAUGGUGUAUUCUGAUUCUUUUCUUCAGUGUUUGGUUCUUGUUUUCCAAUUUAGAAGAACUUCAAAGUGAAAACUGUCCCUUGAUUUUGUUAAUGAGAGUUGAAACCUUAAACAAGCAUUGAAUGUAGAGUGAAUUUCGAUUCUUUUUUCAAGCGUUUAGUUCUUGUUUACCUAUUAAGAGCAUGUUUGGAUUGGUUUAUUUUAGUUUAUCAAUCUCACAUAAACCACUGCGAGUCUGUUGGAGAGAUCUUAUAGAAAUAGCUUAUGAUCAUGUUCAUAAGUUUAUUGUGGCUUAUUUGAAGAUGGUCAAGAUCAUGCACAAGCUAAGUUUGCAUGGUGCGUGAAAUUACAUGACACUUAUACAAUGAUGGGAAAUAUCGAGAAUUGUCAAAAGGACUUGAAAUUCCAGGUCAGGACUUGGGGGAAACUGAUCCUAGAUUCGGUGAGACAUGUAUGCACGUAGCUGAGGCACAUGUUCAAGCAGUGCAGAUGUCAAAAGGCCCUUUUCCUAUACUACGCCUAAGACCUGUAAAAUGCUAGGAACGGCCCUGGCAGUUGAAGAGAGUCUAAGAAGCUAUGUCAAAAGGCUCUAGAUAUUCAAAAGACUAAGGCCGAUCGGGGAUCGGAAGGUGAUUAUGGAAGUGUUUUAGAAAAUUAUACGUUGGCAUGUAUGGUUAUAGCAGAUAGAGCGCUUCAGUUUAAGGAAACACACAUCGGAUAUUCGGAAAGUUGAAAAGAAAAAACCCUAUAGUUUCAGUACACGUGUAUUCUGGAUAUGCCAUUUAUACAAGUUAGUUUUGUGAACGAUGCAUUUCACUUUCAUAAUAUCAAAGCUUGGUUAACCACACCUCCGUAUAAAGAAGGUAAAAUUUGUAUUAAUGAAUGGUAUGAGUACAUAAAUAUUCCUUAGUAAAAUGGAUCUAAAAUUUUUGUAGAGGGGUUUUGCAACCAAUAUGUUGUUUUUCAUCAAAUAGUAACAAUCCACCACAAUCCAUGACCCCAGCUGCUAAAGCAAUAUCAGAUUUUUCAAAACAAAAUACAUCAAUAAUUAGGACCAUUUUUUUUUGAGAGAUCAAUAAUUAGGACCAUAUAACUUACUUUAAUAUAAAAAGGUAAAUUUCUCGCAAAUGGAAUUUAUCAUGUGAUCAACUAAUAGGGGAAUACAAGACCACCGCAAAAAGUAUAGAUGAUCUUUCUUAAUGGCAGACUUAGCAUGUGGAUGAGCUUGACUCAAGAAUGUACCCCUUACAAUUCAAAUUAUAAAGAUUUCAAGUAUGUUUUCUUCAUCUUUCAUUUCUUACAAAUUUCAGUUUUGAAAUAUUUCAAGAAACAUUAAUAAAGUAUAUCAUAUGUUUGGAUAAAAUAACUUAGAAUCACCACCAUACUCUCUCUGGUCUCAAAUGUAGGAAAAAAAAAAACACGCCAAUUAAGAAAAUGAAUUGAUUACAUUGAAGUCAUGUUAAAAAAUGUACAACUUUCCAAUUUUGCCCUUGUCAUGUUUUAGUAAUAAUUAAUGAAAGUGACUUUUGAACUCAUGGAGAUAGGGUAACGUGAAACAGUAUGGGAGCAUGCAGCUUUGAAUUAUGAGAAUAUGAUUUUUAACAAGGGUAAAAUUGGAAUAGUAGCAUUUAUUAGGUUGCUUUUACUAUACUUUUUCUUACAUUUGAGACCACAAUUUUUUUUAUGUUUUUUCCCUACAUUUGAGACCGAAAGGAGUACAUAAUUAUCUUAGUCAAUUCUAUUAAGAAAGCUCUAGUAAAAAAAAAGAAUGUGUGGAUGGGUAAAUUAAAAGGAUAAGGAUACAAAGGAAAAUUUGAAACUCCCUCUAUUCCUUUUUAAGUGUCAUUUUUGGAAAAAAAAUUGUUCCUAUUUAAUUGUCUUUUUCAAAGUUCAAUGCAACAUUAAAUAUUGUUUUACCAAUAUUAUCCUUAGUUGUUUUAUUACGGAGAGAGAAAUAUAUGAAAUAAGAUAUUAAAUGAAUAAGGUCAUUAUAGUAAAAAUAUAGUUUAUUACAUCAAAAGUAGUAUCAAUUGUUGAUUGUCUUAGUUUAUAUAAAAUGUCAAAAUGUGAUAAUUAAAAAUGAACGGAGAUAGUAUAAAACAAGCUGCGAGUUAAGUGUAUCAUUAUAUAAUUUCUUGAAGUCUAUGAAGUUUUCGAGGUUACACAUUUUGGAAAGCGAAGAAAAGCUGAGAAAUAUUUAACCAUUUCUUAAACAUUCCUUUACUUUUCUUUGACUUCUGAAAUUUGUUGUUUGAAAAACCGUAUUGGAAUUAUUACCACCAAUGUGUUACACUAUAACAUUGGUAUGAUACACCUCUAUUAGUUCUAAGGUUUUUUUUUCUUCUUCAUGCCAUGCAUUUGGCUUAAUCUUGUGUCACCCUAUCAAAAUGUAAAACUUGAGUUUAAUUAUUAAAAAGGGUAAUGCAAAAGUCUAAUACUUCAAUUUAUGAUGCAUUGAAUGCAUUAAUUUUGAUAAAAACUUAAUAUCUAUUGUUCUUAAAUAGUAUCUUUAGGGCAAGGUGCAUGGCAAGGCGUCUGUUAGUAUUUCCUAAAAAAUAUUAUUAAAAUAAAAACCGUAUAAAAAUUCGGUGAAUUAAAGGGGGUUCAAGCCCCAACAAAACAACCAAAAACCUUUAUUUGGUUAGCCUCUUUUGAGACCAAUUAACCUAUCUUUAUCACGCGUUGGAGAAAAUAUGGAUUUUUCGAACCAUUGCACGACUACAAUUACUGUUGUUUUUAUUCAUUUGAAACGGCUGAAGCUGGUUUCGGCUAGACACAAUGUUAUGAACCAUAGGCCAUAGCCAUUACCUGGUGGAAAAUUCCAAGGCAACUCACACCAAAAUAAGAGGGCAAUGGACUUCAUUAACAUAACCAAAAUUUUUGAUAUUCAACAUAAGCCAUUCCUUCCACUCCACAUCAUCAAAAAACUUCACAUCAUAAAAUUGUUGAAACCUGAGCCAAAAAAUCCUAGCUUUCACACAGACCUAGAACAUAGUUAAGGAACUAGGCCUAGAACAUAAUUGAAGAAAUUUAUCUUUUAUCCAAUAUAUGACUCAGCUUUAAUUAUCAAUCUGCACAUUUCAGAACUUCAUAUCCUGAUUUGUAUUAUGCUUGAAAUGUUAAAACUGUGGCAUUAGAAUUGAACAAUCUUUUUGUUACAAACUUCAAUUUCUGAUAAAACACUUUCUCACAUAUCAAAGCACUACUCAGAAACAUUUGAUAUUGCUGCUUUUGUGUGUAGUAUACUUGUUCUUGCGUAGCUUCAGCAUAUUCAGUAAAUCUGUAACACCCCGUUUUUCCAUUAUAAAAAUUUCAUAAAUUAAUUAGAGUAAAACACCUUAAACGGAAUGUUACACUUCUUUUUCUUAAAAAUCAUAAAUGGAAUAAUUAAAUAAUUAUCCUUCAAAUUUCAACAACGUAAUAAUUAAAACUUUGCAGCGGAAUUAAUUCAACGACAAUAGAAGCUCCAACAACAUGUUCCAAAAUUGAUACAUAAAGGAAUGAUAAACAUCGUAACAAUUUCUCAUCCCGUUACGUAUCAGAGCCCUAAGACACUUGAGCCACCUCUCCUACUAAGCUUCAUUACCUGCAAGUUACCCAUACGAAGGGCAACAUUUUCAAGUAGAAGGGAUGAGAUCUCUUAAACAAUAAUAAUAAGCAUAUAAUUCAUCAAUUACAGUUAACAACAUAGACAUCAUCAAAUCCACCCAAUAAUAAUUCUUCUUAACAUCCCCUUAGUACUCAUGAAUAGAAGACAACUUAGCCACUAUAUAUGCAUCAACGUUAUCAAUUCAUAACAAUAAUUAUUCAUCAACCAUCUCAUUAACAAUACAUGAAUAAGGAACAACUUAUCAACUUAACAUAACCAUCAUCAAGUACAUUUAACAACUCAUAGUACUUCUAGUUUUGAGCUUUGGAAUUAUUCCAUAAGUUUUGGAUUAACUUAGAAACGGUUAUACUGAAUUUUCAUAAGAUUUCACUAAGACCUCCUUAGAGUAUUUUCAUCAUAUCUCAAAAACCAAAAAUCAUUUUCAAGUGAAACCAAAGCCAUUGGAAAGCUAACAAAAUUAUCUACAACUUUCAUGUUUACACCAAAGGUCAACUCAAAACAGAAAUGUGUGAAAAAGACGCAAGAUUAUGAAACAGGGUAAGCAUCAGACAUACUGAAAUUUACAGAUUUUCUGUCAAAAUCGCCUCACGAUCACUGGGAUCGCCUCACGAUUUCGACAGCAUCAUACAUGCUGAUAUUACAGAUUUUUCUGCGAUUUUCUACCAUGGGAGCAUCCUUGGCUCCGUUUUUUGACCCUAAACUCUCCAAAAUCAUCCAUAAUCAUCACCAUAUGAUUACCCUAUCAUUGAAACAUUAAUCCAUCACUAACCUACCCGAUUAACCACUCUUUUCACCGUUCAAUUCUAUGGUUUCUACACUUUUUCAUUCAAAAGUCAAUAAUCAAAACCUAAUCCCAAUUCUCAAAUUUAACCACAACCCCUUGCUAAAUCAAAAUCAGAAUUAUACAAACUAUAAUCAUUGAGAGUUAGCCUCACCCUUACCUUAGAUUGAUGAACAAAGCUCUACACGAUCUUCUCUCGGAUACUCUUGGCUCCCUCUUGGUUUUUCUCCCAAAAAGCUGCUUCCACGUGAAAAUGUUUUAUGACUUCUCUCUUUUCUUUUCUAAACCUAGUUCAACUUCUUCUAUUUCCGCUUAAUCCCACACAACUCUCCUUAUUUCUAAAUCAGCCCCUUGAACUCCAAAUAUUCUAAAUUCCCACUUAUUCUAUUAAAUAGUAACAUAACUCAUUUAAUAAAAUAUAACACACCACAUAAUCAACAAUAUUUAUUUAAAAUCAUAUAUAAAAAGACUUUAAAUCAACCAAUAAUAAUUAAAUAAAAUUGGAGCGUUACAAAAUCUGUUACCAUGAACUCUGAAUCUUUUUGACACUUUUCCUAUGUACUAAUGUUUAUUUUGCAUCAGUCCACAUUGAAAUAUUUAUAUAUUAAUCAUUAAGUUAACCUAUAUGAUUUAUUGGACAAAAACCAUAUGAAGAUUUGUUCCAAAAAUUGUCACAAACUGUAAAGCACAAACACCUUUAGGACUAGUUGUGCCACGGUGUCCAACACUCAUGUGACACUCGUAUGACACGUGUCAGACAACUAAAAUCGGCGUCUUAAAUAAAGUUAUUUUUUCUUUAAUUCGACACUCCUAGAACUAGUAUCUGACACCUAUAUAACACGCAUACGAGCUGUGUAGGGGCAACUCAGACAAAUAUCAAAACAUUAUUUUUCUCUCUUGCUUCCACAAAUAAUAGAUACAAGAGCUACAUAGGUUUUGAGGAAUGUUGAUCAAUUAGGGGGUUAUAGACAUUACAGUUGAUUAUAACAUUUUUAGCUUUUUUGAUAGCAGAUACAUAAAUAAAUGUCAAAUACUACGAUAUCUUGUUUUAGAACUUUUUCUAAUAAAAUAACUUGCUCAAGUUAAAUGCUUAUAUAUGUAUUUUGAUUUUCAUUUUAGACCGUCUACAAAUAAAUUAACAUAUAUGUAGUAGCGGUGUCGGUGUCCCAUAUUUUUUACACUAACAGUGUCGAAGUAUCUGUGUCAGUAUCGUAUCAGGUGUCUGUGUUAAAGUCCAUACUUUAUCACAAAUAAUUGUACAAAUAUCAUUUCUCUAAUAUAAUAACCAAGAGUGCAAUUGCUUUUCGAUUUUAAUCUUAGUUUCAGAUUUUUAUGGUUCCAAUUUUUCUCAUGAAUGGAAUAUAUAGUUAAAAUCUUAUGUUAGCCUAUAAAAUUUCCUCUUAAAUUGGAUCUGGUGGCAGAUAGAUACCAUCUAGACUUUUUUUUUUUUUUGGAUUCUCCCUAGACUUCACAAUGGAUUCAAUUCAAAGAUGUCUUCCUUAAUGGCAGACUUAGCAUGCUCCUAACCUCAGCCCUAGUAUCAGCAUAUAAAAUGUCCAAUAAUCUGGUCAUUAAAUUAAUCGCACAGUUCCAAUCCAUUGCCUCGUCGUGGUCCAGCAUGCGGUCGUGAAAAGGAAUGUAUAGGAGAUUAUGCACAUCGUCCAAAGUGAUCGUCAUCUUCCCCACAGGUAGAUGAAAACUACUGGUCUCCGUGUGCCACCUCUCGCACAUAGCACAUAUAAUGGCAUGGGUCACAGUAGAAUACCCCGUGUAUAUCAAAUCAUGUAGGCCAGACCCCUCCACAGGCACCUCAAAACCUCCUUCGACUUACCAAACUCUUUCAUCUUUUCCCUGCAUUUAUACACUUGUAAUCUGCUUCAUCAUACCACAUAUGAAAUUCAAAUUAAUUAAGACAUUGUCACUAUUUUAUAUAAUUAAAACACUUACGCUACAUAAUAUUAAAUAAUUAAAACACUUACGCUACAUUAUUUUAAGGCUUAAAUAUGUAAAUCGUCCUUGUAAUUUGGCGUGUUUUUGGUUUUCGUCCCUGUAUCUUUUUUUAUUCUAAAACAACCCCUAUAAGUUAAUAACUUUUUACUUUUCGUCCCUCCCGUCAAACUCUGUUACAAAAAUGCCUUGCUGACUAACGGUGAGUGACGUGGCAGGUGCUGACUUGGCCAAACACGCUUAUGUGGACUGACAGAUGAUCCCUGACUAUAUUACAGGGACCAAAACCAAAAACGAAAAGGUACAGAGGGACAAAAUUAAAAACACCUAAAUAACAAAAUAUGAAAUUUAGGUGGCCUUCCAGAAGAUUCCUGACUAUAUUACAGGGACCAAAACAAAAAACGAAAAGUUACAGAAGGACGAAAUUAAAAAUCACGAAGUUAAAAAUUUAAAAUUAAAAACCCUUGUUGUUUCCAUCUUCUUCCUCUCUCUUUGACAUAUUCUUCUUCUUCUUCUUUUGUGCUUCUGAAAUCAAAUGUCUGGCAACAAUGUCUUCAUCAUCCAUUACGUUGUUUUCUUCAAUUGAAUCAUCGUAUGGAAUGAAAUUAAAAAUCACGAAGUUAAAAAUAUCUGCCAUCUUAUUCAUCUUCUCUCUGUUGUAUGGAUUCCAUUCCAACUUGGAUUGAUUUUGUUACGAUAAUAUGGAAAAAAGAUGGAUGUACCAAUUCAUAUACCCGAUUCCUUUCUUGGUCACCCCACAAGAAAUUUAAUAAUAAUAAUAAUAACAAUAAUAAUAGUAAUAAUAAUAAUGUAAAGCACAAGAAUGAUGUUUCCAUUGUUCUUCUUAUCCUUACAAUUGUAAUCUCACCCUUCUCAUUUGUCAUGUGCUUCAAACUUUGUCAUAAUUCCACUAACAAGAAAGCAAACACGACGACAACAAAGAAUGAGAAUUUGUUUGACAUAUGGAAUUAUGAUGGAAAAAUAACAUAUGAUGACAUUAUUAAAGCAACACUUUGACAUUAGAUAUUGCAUCGUGACAUAAGCAUAUGAAAGUGUAUACAAGACUCAAUUAUCAUGUGGCCAAUUUGCCACCUUAAAGAAACUUCACAAAUAUGAAGCAGAUGUGUCAUUUUUUGAUGCGAGUUUCAGAAUUGAAGUGAGAAUAUUAUCAAAAAUAAAGCAGAUAAAUAUUGUUAAACUUUAUGAAUUUUGUUUGCACAAAAGAAUCAUGUUUUUAAUCUAUCAAUACAUGAAAAAAGAAAGUUUGUUCUCGGUUUUGUAUGAGGAUUUAGAAGCUGAGGAAUUCAAUUGCAGAAAAGGACUUAAUUGAUGAUGAAGACAUUGUUAGCAGGGCAUGCAGUUCAAUGGUGCAGAAUAAGAAGAAUAUGGCAGAGAGAGACGAAGAAGAUGGAAACAACAAGGGAUUUUAAUUUCAAAUUUUGUAACUUCUUGAUUUUUAAUUUCGUCCUUCUGUAACUUUUCGUUUUUGGUUUUGGUCCCUGUAAUAUAGUCAGUGAUCUUUUGGAAGGCCACCUAAAUUUCAUAUUUAGGUGUUUUUAAUUUCGUCCCUCUGUACCUUUUCGUUUUUGGCUUUGGUCCCUGUAAUAUGAGGUCAGGGAUCAUCUGUCAGUCCACAUAAGCGUGUUUGGCCAAGUCAGCACCUGCCACGUCACUCACCGUUAGUCAGGAAGGCGUUUUUGUAACAGAGUUUGACGGGAGGGACGAAAAGCAAAAAGUUUAUUAACCUAUAGGGGUUGUUUUAGAACAAAAAAAGAUACAGGGACGAAAACCAAAAACACGCCAAAUUACAGGGACGAUUUACAUAUUUAAGCCUUAUUUUAAACAAUUAAAACACUUACGCUACAUAAUAUUAUCUUUUAAAUAAUUAAAACACUUACGCUACAUAAUAUUAAAUAAUUAAAACACUUACGCUACAUUAUUUUAAACAAUAAACACACUUACGCUACAUAAUAUUAAAUAAUUAAAACACUUACGCUAUAUUCUUUUAAAUAAUUAAAACACUUACGCUGCAUAAUAUUAAAUAAUUAAAACAUUUACGUUACAUUAUUUUAAAUAAUUAAAACACUUACGCUACAUUCUUUUAAAUAAUUAAAACAUUUACGUUAUAUUCUUUUAAAUAAUCACUUUAAAGCAUUUAAAGAAUUUUAAAGAAUUUAAACACUUACAUUAUGAUGGUUCACCCAAAGAGGGUUCGCCACGUGUCUCGCGUAGUCGGACAACAGUGACGUGGUCUCAGGUCCUCCAGAAAAGGGAGGCCCUCCAACAGGAUAUGGCGGUAUCGUCGGAACACGGCGACGUCGUUGCUGAGUCUGAGGCUCAGGCUCACUCUCAAGAACAACAUUUUAUGCCUCAAGAUAAUCCGCCACAACAUCCUCUGGCACCUCCUCAUCACCUGCCACCUCCUCAUCCUCUGCCUCGUCCUGCGGCUGAUAAAAAAUUCUAUCCUCCUCCAUCCGAUCAUAUUCAACAAAACCCUCCUCAUACACAGCAUCAUCAUGCGCUGGUGUCAGAUCAAGCACCUGGGAGGAGUAAUCCAUAUGUACCUGUGAGCUCUAUACACCUAGCCUCGCGUCCUUACGCCUCCCAGUCUUUGGGACAUACGAGUGUUAAUCCACCUUCUCCUUUCGAGCGCUAGCGGUACUCGCCACUUUACCUUUGCGCAUCUUAUCCUCUCUAAUAACCCGUUGCCGCUCAUCCUCAUCCCUAGCCAUAUCUGUACAAAACAAAUUAAAAAUAACAUAAAUAAUUAUUACAUACCACAUUAUGUCAUUCUUCAAACUUAGGCAUAUAUAUAACAUACCACAUUAUGUUAUUCUUCAAACUUGGCAAAAAAUGUAAAAAUUCAAGCUUAUAAUAAUUAUAACAUAUAUACAUUAUAAAAUUAAACAUAUUUGAACAAAAAUUACACAAAAAAAGCAACAUUUUCUCACUUACGCAUUUCAUCAAACACCUUAUGUGCAUUCUAAAUUAGGAGCAUAAUUAGUGUUAUUUGAACAUCUAAACAACUACAUUGUACCUACACUUACUCUAAACAACAAUUACAACAUAAACAAUCCAUCAAAGCAUCUAAAUCAUGCAUAAUUUGCAAUUUUCUAACUUAACCUAAAACUAUCUAAAACUAACAUUUUGCUCAAAAUUAUAAAAACUAACACCCUAAACAAACUACAUUGCAUAUAAAUAGGAAGGAAAGAACUUACUUGUGAAUUAAUUGAAGAAAUUGGGCGCAAAUUCGUGGAGUAGAAGUUUGGAGAAAUUUGGAAGUUGUGUUUCUGGAAAAUGUAAAAGUGAGGGUUCUAUUCUUGUUAAAACGCAGAACUCUAAUGGUAGUUUACUACCGCUGAGGAUAAAAACGUCAUUUACUUCUAUCAAUAGAAAGUAUUCAUUGUAAAAAAAAAAUAAAAAAAAAAAACAAUUUUCAUACCCUUUCCUCAUCCACUUAAAAGAAAAAACGAAAUCAGAGUUAUUUUUCUCUUCGCCCGCGACGCCACAACACCACGGCACCACCGUCUUCUCCGCCGUCAAUAGAGCUACCGUUGCUUCCUGAGGUUAGUUCUCUUACCCCUUUGGUUUCAAUUGCAUAAUUUGUGCUUCAGAUUUCUCUAAUUUUACAAACCUUUUGCUUUCUGUGUGUUUGUGAAUUCCUUUCGUAAAUAAAUUAUUUCAUAGCAAAAAGUUAUUAUAUGCUAAUUGCUAUAUGGUUCAGUGCAUAUUACUUCUUAAAAAAAAAAUUAUUUGCUAAUUGCUACUUCCUUCGUUUCAAGAUACAUAUCGCCGCAGUUUUGCAAUGUGCAUUGUUCAGAUAACUUUGACCAUAUUUUUUAACUAAUAUAUAAAUACAAUUGUUAGCACGUAAGAUUUUGUCCGGUUUGUCUAAAUGAAUAUUUUUUUUUCAAGAUAUCAAAUUUUUAUGAUUUUUUGUCAUAGAUAGUUAAAGAUAUUAAUGAUCAAAGUUGUGUGACUGCGGCAUGUAGUUUAGAAAGGAGGGAGUAAUUAUCUCUUAAUUUUAGAAAGUUGUGUAUUAGCUCUAUUAAAUGGUGAGAAAUAUGAUAGAGAUUGGCUUGUUUAUUCAAAAGAACUUGAUAGAAUAUUUUGUUUUUGUUGUAAAGUUUUUAAAAGAGGGAUUGGUAGAAGUCAAUUAGCAACUGAGGGUUUUAGUGAUCGGUCACAUGUUGGUGUAGCAUGAGACAAGCAUGGAGCAUGUUAAGAGCAUGACUACUUGGAUUAUAUUUGUGUUACUUACAAUGAUGGCUAAUCUUUAUGUUUACUGAUGUUAUUUUUAAAUAGAAGAUUGCUUGUUUAAAAAAAAUUACAUUUUUAGUUUAUCAGGCCCCAUCUUUACUUUGAGAGUCAAGCCUCCAAUUUGAUUGGGACGACCCUGGUUGAGAGUCCUACAUCAACCAGAGAUGUGGCCUAGUAGUGCUUAUGGUUUGGCGUGGGCAGUCCUUAUCUUAUAAGCCGAUUUUGUGCGGUUGAGUUUGGUUAUAAGCUAUUCCUUACCUAUUUUAGAUUUGUUAUUGGGACAAGAUGUUUGUUAUUCCAUCCUCAUCUGUACAUAUUCUAGAUAGUCUGUCUUGGGCUUUGAUAUAUUUCUUGUUCUACCUGCAUUAGUUUUGGACACGUGGGUGUAUGUAUGUUCGCAUGUCGAGAGUUCCACGCCGACUAAAGUUUUGGUCUAGGUAGUGUUUAUAAGGUUUGAACAUUCCUCACUUUACAAGCUGAGUUUGUAGGGUUUAGUUAGGCCCUAAGCCUAAACACUAAGAAUGACUUUGCAACUCAGAAAGAUCCAGUAUUGUUCUUCCUUAUUCAGCACCUUAAGGUGUAUAGGUAGUAUCAAUUUCUUAAUUAAACACAUGUAUUGAGUAAUUUCAUGCUUUUUAACUAUAGCAGAAGAAUGGUCUUCUAUAAACACCUUUAGGUUUUCUUUACCAGUUGUAGGGAAAAAUGUUAUCAUGUUAUUUGUAGUCUAAAUAUCAAGAAUUUAUCGUUUUAGUCUUUUAUGCAUCGUUUGUUGCCUUGUUUUUAUCUUUUCCUUACCUUGUUCUGUAUAAGUUAUACAUGCUGGUUUUCAAUCUGACAGGGUAUAAAGGUUGAUGAUUCAUGAUCUUGAGACAAUCAUUUUGUCCUUGUGCAGGAGGAGGCUUCGAGGCCUGGUGUUAGAACGUUAUAAUACUUCUUCAAGAAAGUGGUUAUAACAUAGCUGGAGUUCAUCCAUUUGAUACAAACUACAUUACAAGUCUCUAAGAAUGACAUUCCAGUAACUUGGCUGAAGAAAUUCUGAAGGUACAGAAGUGCUGAUUUUAUUAGUUUCUGAUUUUGUAACUAAUGAGCUGUUCUAUUCUAUCUUUAUUAUAUAUCUCAUCCGGCUAUGUUUGAUUAUUUCAACGGGGGAGAUAGGAUGAAAUGACAUCUUUUCAAACAUAUGUUUCUUAUAAAUCAACAGUGGUUAGUGAUUAGUGAUUACUUCACUAAAGUCUAAUACUUUUCAUUUGAGGGAGCAUAGAUAGAAAGUAUAGGAUGUUAUUAACGUACAUAGCAUAUACUGGUUUGAGAAGCACGAGUUCACGAUUCUAUUCUCCAUCGUAGUUUCAUUUGGCACAUAGAAGUUGGUUUUUCAUUCUGAUUCCUUUUUCAAAUAUGCGAUGGAGUAUUACUGAAAAAGAGUUGAAAGUACUUUUUGCUUCCACUGUUAAGGACACAAAAUCUUAGACUGCUAAAUGCCUUAGUUGUGUUAUUUUAUUUAAAUACUUUGGCUUUAAUAUUUGGAUUCUUGUCACACAUGCCUCAAAGAUCUACCUGCCAAAGGUAUCAUAAGACUAUAAAUACCUGGGAAGAGGGGGAGUUGGUUAAGCUUAUAUGGUUUGAUAUAAUUAUGUUUUCAUCGAUCAUAAUUGUAACAUCCCCAAUGUUUAUAUAGUAUUAGUAGUUAUAGUAUAAAUGUCCCUCCUUAUUUUAUCAGGAGCUUACACACCAAUUAAAAUAGAAUGAAAAUGAGAAAAGGGGUAAAAUAGUAAUUGUAUCCUAGUCAUAUAAGUAGGAAAUCUCACUAAAAUAAAUAAAUAAAUUACAUCUUCUCUCUCAAACGAAAGAAGAGGGGAAGAAUUUCUUCUCCCAAUUCUUCUCAUUCCUCCAUUAAAUCUUUCAACUAGGUGAGUUUUCUUCUUAAAUUUUCAAUUCAAACCUAGAAAUUUCUUUUGAAAAUGAGAAAUGGAUGUUGAAAUUGGGGUUUAGAGAUUCUUAUGGGUAAGGGAAUAGAGAUGAGUUAUGGGCUGAAAAUUCAUAAGUUUAGAAUUGUUAUUAGUAAUUGCAUGUGUAGGAAAAGUGAUGGGUAUGAUGAAUAUUGCUAUGCUCAUAAGUUUAAAUUUUAGAAGAGUUGAAAUUCCAUAAUUUCGGUAAUUGAAUGAUGAUUUUAGGGACCUCAAUAGAUUUAAUGAUUAAACUAUGUUUUAUACCUUUGAUUGAACACUACCCUUGACUCUUGAUUGAUGAUGGUAAAUUGAUUUGGGACUGAAAUUGAAUUGUGGAAACUGUUGGGACUGUUUUGGAUGUGUUAUGCAGAAAAAUAGUGAAGAGCCUGCAGAUUUGCAUGUGGGCAUCGAUGUCAACACUGGUGGCUUCGAUGCCCAGGCUCUGACUGCUCAUUUUUGUUGUUUUGAUCCGGUUUAUGGUGUUCAAUGAUCUGUUAUAGUUCUGAUGAGUCUGAAACAUUUCUAGUGCUUGUUAAAAUCACCUUUAUUCUUUUAAAAAUGUAGGAAUGGACAUUGGUUAUGUGAUGUACUGAUGAUGAAUGAGAAUUAUUAUGUUCCUAUUAAAUCUUAGGUUAAUUAGAUAGUAAUAGAAGAUAUAUAAUACACAAAAAUCAUGGAUUAGGUACACACACACAAAGUAUGAAUGAUUUUCAUAGAUUAACUCAAGAGGUGUGGAGUCUUAUAUUGAUAUGAAUGAGUUUUAUAGAUUAACUCAAGAGGCGCAUUUUCAUAGUUAAUAUGUAUGAGCUUUCUAGAUUAAUUUACGAGGAAUAGGUUCAUAUAUUCAUGUGUGUAUAUAUAUAAAAGUUAUGGCAGAUUGUGAUGUUCUACACUAUAGCAUUGUUCAAGCAUUUGAUUAUAUGUUGUUAAGUAAUUAUUAACUUAUGAAUUGGAGAUGUAUGGUAACUGUUUGAUGUUGAUGCUUAGCCUAGGACUAGGAUAUUAGUCUUGUUUUUAGUACUUCUGUAGACUUUAUGGGAACGCACUUUAUGCAAUCCCUUAAUGUUGUUGUACAUAUGACUUAAUCAAGUAUAUAACCUUCAAGUAUGUGUAUUAUCCUUUGGUAUCCAUUAUCGAUGUGUAACAACUUAAAUAGUAUUUUAGAUUAUUGUUUGGGUGUUUUAUUAAUAUUCUCUAAACUUAAGGAUUUCAUGCACAAAAAGUAUUUAUAAUUUAUUCUCAUCGACAGGUAUUUUUUUCUUGCUUAAACUUCAGGUGAGAAGUGAGGAAAAGGAACUUAGUGGUAGGAGAAUGGUGAUCUCUAGUACCAAUCCCCACUAUAAGGAGAUAGCCAUCAGGAAGAGAAUCGCUAGCAUGUAUAUUUUUCUUUCUCACAUUGUAUCUUGCUUGUUUUGUGUAUGUGACACAAGAAAUACUAGAUGAAUCAUGUCUUUGAAGUUUCUAGAUUCUACUCGUAGUAUGGAUAUAAUGCAAAAACAUUCAAUUUAGAGUCAUAAAAUCCUGCAGAAUUUGAUUGAUAGAUUAUUACAUUUUGUUCUGGAUGAAAACAUUAUUGAAGUUGGGUCAAGAAAAAAAACAUUAUUUAAGUUGCAAUAGUUAGCAAAAUUUGUGUAGUAAAGAAAUAGGUAUCAUAUUCUAAACUCUGGACUCUCACUUUUUGGGGUCCAUGUUAUAUUGAAUUCAUUCAAGUAAUUAAUUUAUGCUUGAUUGUAAAUAUAUAGAUUCAAUAAACGGGAAGAUGAUUUUCCAUCUUUGAAAGAGUACAAUGAUUACUUGGAGGAAGUAGAGGACAUGAGUAAGCUUCUAUAGUGACGCUGACUUAAAUUUCCGUUGGUAAUUUUUGCUUUAUUUUGAUGAAAUUCCUCCCCUUUUCCCUGCAGCGUUUAACUUGAUUGAAGGAAUAGAUGUAGCUGCUAUUGAAGCUAGGAUUGCUAAAUACCAGGAAGAAAAUUCUGAACAAAUAAUGAUUAAUCGAGCCCGAAAGGUACUUAUAAUAGUCUCCAUUGGUUCAGUCUCUUCUAUCUGCCCUGUAUCAAUUUGUUAUGCAAGUGCUAGUUUCAUGCUAUAUAUUUUGAUGUGUUGUUGUGCUUGUAAUAAUUAAUUAGGCUGAGGAAUUAGCUGCAGCUAUGGCAACAAGCAAGGGACAACCUGCCCAAACUGAUAAUGAUGUAAGUAUUGGAUUUUUUUCUUAUAUGUAUUCAUUAAGAUUACAUUUUUGGCACAUAUCGUCGAACCUAAUUAAGUUUGGCCUAUAAUUUGAGAUUGAAAUGUAUUUAAGUGAUUGACCUCUUCUGAGUGAUACUUCCAAUUAAGCGUUUUUUUUUUUUUUUUUUGGUUUGAACAUCUAUUCUGUGUCGCCUAGCCUAUUUAUAAGACAAAUUUAUGCAAUAGAUUAUUAACUUUGUUCAUUCUCGAAACAGGAUGCAAACCCAAAUUCUCAAGCAGGGUUUGGUGCUGUUCCUCAAGGGCAAUAUGCACCUACAAUUGCAGGAGGACAGCCUAGACCCACAGGCAUGGGACCACAACCUUUACCGCUUGGUGGAGGUGACGCGGGCUACGUAGUUGAGAACGAGGAAACAUUGCGGCGACAAGCAAGGGCUGGAGGAUGGAGUAUAGAAAUAAGCAGGAAGAGGGCACUUGAAGAAGCCUUUGGAAGCAUUUGGAUUUCUUAGAGACACAUUCAUUCUGAUACAUGGGAUGCCUUGGAAGGUGUCACAUGGUCAUUCUGAUACAAAUGGUGUAGAAUGUAAGAUUUGUCACAAUUUUGUUAAGUUAGCACAAAUUUAUAAUGGGAUGCCUUGGUUCAUCUUUCUUUUGGAUUGUUAGUUGUAUUUAUUUGUAAAAUUAUUCCUCAAUUUUCCUUGUUGUAGGUCUAAUCUUGUUUAGUUGAUAUUUGUCAACGCAAACACAACUCAAACUGAGAUUUAUUUGGAGGAAUAGAGACUUUUUGAAGUCUAGGUGAAGAAAAAAUAUUCUAAAACAAUGUAGUUUCUCAUUUUAUUUUUUUUGGUAAUCAUGUUCAAUCCCUUGAAUCACAUGUGCUUGUUGGUUUUAUUCGAUUCUCUGGGUUUUUUUUUCUUCUAGAUAUUGGCACAUCUGAGAUUGCUUUUAACAACUAAAUAAUGUUGGGAGCAACUUUCUCCGCCAAACUACAAGUUCUUUCGAUCUAGAUCGAACUGUUAAUAGUCAAGCUCAGUAAAUAAAAAGUAAAAUCUGAUUUUCUUUGAAUAGUCUGAUCAAAAUCGGACGGUCAUUGUUUUGAAUGCGCAAUCCACCUGUGAAUCCGAUUUCAAACUACACAUAUCUUUAGAAGUGUAUUAUUUUAGUUGAUAUAUUCUGCUAAUUUGAUAUCUCAUUUAGAUCUAAAAUCUUUUGAUAUCUCACACCUACAACUAAAUUAAACUAAUUCAUUUCAUUCUAAUUAUCGAAAAACGAAGAUGAUAUAUUCUGCUUUAAAAUGUACUUUCAGAUGUACAAAAUUCACAUUUUUUUAAAUGUGUACAUCUAAAAUGAUGUAGAUGUUUGUUUACAUAAUUAAAGUCUUGUAUGCAUCAGUUUUAUUUUCUAGGAAAAUAUAUAGUGCUUGCGUAUAGGUAAAAUUACAUUUGAGAGAGAAAAAUGGAGUCAUACUUCUUUAAGUUAACGUGGUAAAUCACACUUUUACGAGGUGAUUUUAUGCUUUUUAAGUAUUGAUGACUAACAAUUUCUUUCAUGACAAUUCUUUUCCUCAUUAGAAAAUGAAGUUGAGUUUAGUUCUCAACCAAACUUGAGACUGACCCAAGUUAAAUUCCACAUCUUCUAGACUAUAUAUAAGUCUCACAUUCUCAUGUCUCUUUGCUUCAUUUUUUUUAAUAGAUGAGAUGGCAAAACUAUCAUAAACUCACACACACAAAAUGGAGGUACUGAGGUCCGAACCCCGAUCAUGACGUCCGGCCUAACAAUUUCGGCAUUUUUACCGGUUGAGUUAGGACUUCUGGGACUGCUUCAUUUUAUUUAUACUACGUGUAUGCUUCAUUUCAAGCAUUAUUUUUGAUUUAGUGAUUUGGAUGACGCACAAGUGAAACUUAAUAAUAAAGUAUAUACUAGAUUAGUAGAUUCCUUUAUUCAAAGCUGCAAAAUAAUGAACUAUGCAAAACUCUGCCACAAAAGCUACCGCAAAAGUGUUAGCAAAAUAAUUGGAAGGUGAUGUAUCAAAGUCAAGUUUUUUGUACAGCUUUCUCUUAAAAGUUCACAACCAAAUAAAUAUAUUAUCUUUAUAUACACUAAACUAAAAUAAUAUCAACUAGCCAAAACCUAUCCCAAAAAACAUAACAAUGCUCUUAUUUAAUUUGAUCCUUUAAUUCAAGUUUUUAUAGCAGUUUAAAUGGAAUAAUAUAAGCAAUUUUAUUAAAACCUUGAUGCUAGCCUGAGCCUGAUCAUAAGAUACUCACACACGAAAUUCUCUUUAAGCUUAGGUUGUUAACAAACACAUGAAACGUUUUGUGUCAGUUUUAAGAGAGGAGUGUGGAACUUAUAUAUAAUUUGUUUGUCAUUUGUGGGGUUGCGUCAAGGGUGUGGUACUUGUGUCUAGAUAGUUAGGAUGAGAGUGGGUUUUACGGGAGUUUGUUGGAGUUAUUCCAUAUUGUUAGGAGGUAGGGAUGGCAAUUAGAUCAAAAUCUAAUGGUUACCUGCAAAAAAUAUCUACAAUGGGUAAGUUAAACCACGCUAUGAUGAGUCCAGACUUAAGUUCGAGUAAUUACCCACAAAUUUAGAUGGGUACGGACACGGACACGGAUAAGGGUGAGACUUUGUGAAAUCAAAGUUCCCUAAAUGAGUUGCGCAUCAAUGUAGGUCUUCUUUCCUUUUAUCCCCAACACAACUAAUUCACUAUCCAUUUUUAAGAUAAUUUAUCUCAUACGGCAUUGUUAUAUUGAUCGGGUGUACCACGCCAAUGCUUUAGUGCAACACUCGUGGUUACAUUUCCCAUUCGCUUAUCCAGGGAACAAACUUCCAACCGAAAAUGAGAGCAAUAUUCAAGCAAUGAGUAAAUAUUACUUUCCUUUUCAAAUUGGAAAUGAUGGGGAUGCCUUGGUUCAUCUUUCUUUUGGAUUGUUAAUUGUAUUUAUUUGUUAAAUUAUUCCUUAAUUUUCCAUGUUUGUAGGUCUAAUCUUGUUUAGUUGAUAUUUGUCAACGCAAACACAACUCAAAUUGAGAUUUAUUUGUGGGAAGAGAGACUUUUUAAAGUCUUAGGUGAAGGAAAAAAUAUUCUAAAACAAUGUAGUUUCUCAUUUUAUUUUUUUGGUAAUCAUGUUCAAUCCCUCAUUCCCUUGAAUCAUAUAUGCCUGUAGAUUUUAUUGGUUUUUUUGGUUUCCUCUGGAUUUUGGCACAUCUGAUUUUGCUUUUAACAACUCAACAAUGUUGGGAGUAAUUUUCUCUGCCAAACUACAUGUUUGUUCGAUCUUCGAACGAUUUAUAAUCAAGCUCAAUAUUUUAAAUGAUAAAAUAAAAAGUAAAGUAUGAUUUUCUUUGAACGAUCUCUUAUCAAGAUCCCACAGUCAAUAUGUGAAUGUAUGAUCAUGUUGACGGUUGGAAAUGCAAUUUCAAACUACACAUUUCUUUAGUAGUGAAUUAUUAGAUGAUCUAUAUAUUUUAUUUAAAAAUGUACAUUCAGAUGGUACAAAAGUCACAUUUUUGUGGAUGUGUACAUCUAAAAUGAUGUAGAUGUAUGUUUCCACAAUUAAAGUCUUGUUUGCGUAUUGGUAAAAUUACAUUUGUGAGUGAAAAAUUGGAAUCAUACUUAUUGAAGUGUUAUCGUGGUAAAUCACACUUUUAUUUUAUGCUUUUUAAGCGUUCAUGACUAACAAAUUCUUCAUUGUAAUUCUUUUCCUCAUUGGAAAGAAAAUGAAGUUGAGUUUAGUUCUCAACCAAACUUGAGACUGACCCAAGUUCAAAUCCACAUCUUUUAGACUAUAUAUAUAAGCCUCACAUUCCCAUCUUUGUAUGCUUAGUUAUAAACCCUAAUAUCCACCUCAAGCAUACAUUAUUAAUAUAAAACAUAUACAUUUUGUUUUAAGAAUAAUAUAAAACAUAUACAUCAUUUACAUAAAAUACAACAAGUCAAUAGUAUAAUGCAGUGGUGAAAUAUAAUUAAAUAAUUACAUGAAUGUUAUACUUAAAUGUUAACAUUAGAAGGUGUGUGAUCGGCCUAAGUGGACAUAAUAUCGAAAGAAAUAAUAUUAUACAAUUAUUUUAUGAUAAUUUGUGGAACAACUCUCUCAUAGUCUAUUUAUCAUAUUUUCAUUAUAUUUUUACUCUCUUUCUAUUGCUUUAAUUUUUCAUAUCAAAUAACUAUAUAUAUAUUUUUUUUAUAUAUAUAUUUGGUUGUCGGAUAAAUCAUUUCAAAAAUAAUUGGUCUAUAACAUUUUUUUGGGCAAGUUGUUUUUUUUUUUAAGAUUUUUUUGGACAAGUUGUUCAAAUAAAUUACUGUCUUUAUUAAAAAAAAUAUAUAUUUCUAUCUAUCAUCUAGGAUAGAUUUUAUGACAAAAGGUUGUGGUCACAUUGUACACGUGUAGUACCACCAUUAUUCUAUUUUUGGCUGACAUGGACCCACCCUCUUAGUUGGACCCAGCACCUACACGUGGUUCCUUUGAAACCACAUUUUACACUACCAUGUACCAUAUGAUCAUAUUUAUUAUUGAACUAAUCUUUUUCGUUUUUUUGUUAAAAUCAUUAAUCUAAUCUAAUUGCUCUAACCAACGUCGUUUUUUCAAAAAAGGAAAAAAGCAUGUCGUUUAUUACAUAGCUGCAGCCGACAACAACUAUUAUCCGUUUACAAUUUAAUACUUAUUAUUAUUUUUUUCAAAUUGAGUUUAUCAACUUAUUAUUAUUUUUAUUGUAAAAAAAGCUUAUUAUUAUUUACUAUAUGUGAAGGAAAAAAAAAGUAUAAAAGAGCACAAAUAUGUUGAUCUUUUCAGGUGGGCAUUAAUUUUUUUAAAAUGACAAAAUUUAGUUAUUAAUGGUAAUUUAUUUUAAGGCGAACGAAAAUUAGAUUAAUAAGAAUGAAAGCGUACAAAAACGAGGGAUAUAGGACCUGAUUCAAACGGAUAAUAAUAUAAUAUACUAGUGGUCUAACUACUAGCUCAUCGUAACAAACGAAACGAAUACUAGUGGUCUAACCCUUAGUUCAUCCUAACAAACGAACCAUGAUCACGAGCACAAACGAACGCAAAAUUAGAUUGAAAAAAAUGUGUUGUGAGAACAUUUGAAGCACUUAUCAGAGGUUAAAACAAAUAUUACUGGUAAAAUUAACAGCUAACUAAUGUAUAAUAUUUAUAUUUCAUCAGAAAGAUAUUUAAAAGAAUCUAAAAUUAAUUUUAUCCUUUCAAGCUCAUUAUGUUUAUGUUUACCUUAUCAUUUCUUAUAUUACUGUUCUUUUCUUCUUUCCUUUUUUAUUUCGAGUACAAGUAAUAAACUAUGUAGCCACAAAAAAAAACAAGAAAAAGAAAAACAAAGCAAAACUACCUUAUGAUUUUGCACUAAUCUUGGCUAAAUAAUCUGCACAUUACACAUAAUAUGGUUUUUGAAAUAUAUAUUUAUUAUUUUCAUAUAUAAUAUAAAUUUUCAUUUCAAGCAUUAUUUUUGUUUUAGUAGUUUGGAUUACAUACAAGUGAAACUCAAUAAUAGAGUAUAUACUAGACUCCUUUAUUCAAAGCUGCAAAAGUGUUAACAAAAUGAUUGGUAGGUGACAUAUCAAAUUCAAAAAAAUUGUAUAGUUUUCUCUUAAAAGUUCACAACCAAAUAUAUUAUUAUCUUUAUAUACACUAAGCUAAAAAAAAUCUCAACAAGCUAAAACCUAUCCCAAAAAACGUCUUCGAAAAGAUUUCAAAUAGUAAAUCAAAAUCAAACUCUACUACUUAGUUCUUUAAGGAUAUUUGUGCACAUAACUUCUUUUUUUUUUUUUUUUUUUUUUGUCAAUUUGUACACAUAACUUAUAAAGUAAUAUCAACAAUUUUUUUAUUGUUCUUUCAAAAAAAUUAUUGUUGUUGGGUAAGUUGAGAGAAAUUUUCAAAAUAAAAAUUAUUAAAACAUUAUUUUUGAUAUACUGUAUUACAAGGUAAAUUAAAUAUCGUAUUUUAAUUUCUAUAAAAAAUUAUAUUUUAAUAACUUUAAUUAUGAUCAAACUAUUAAUAGUUUAGCAAAUGCAAAGAAGAUAAUAUACAAAUUUUGAGGGACUAAUAUACAAAUUCUAGGAACUAGGUUCUCUCUCUUACUUGGCACUAACUUUCUACUCAUUCUAAACUUCAUCCUUUUGCAUGUCCAUUUCCAAAUUAUUUAUGGAUAGGAUGUGACAUCUUUACUUGUUUCUUACGGUUUGGAAUCAAAAUGCAUCUUCAUUCAAACAUGUCCAAAUAAAUGUACUUGUCUUUUAUUUCAAACGUGAAUAUGAGGUUUUUUAUGACAACUUUCUCUCUUAUACUUAUAUUAUAUUUUCAUUUUCUCUUUCCAUUGUUUUGAUUUUUGUGCCUAAAUUCACAUUUUUUUGUAUAUUAUGGUUGUCCCACAAAUUGUCCCAUAAAAUAAUUGUUCAAAUAACACUCAUCCUUUUAUAAAUAGAUUAGACAUGACGAGAAUAUAGUGACACAUCUUUCAAAAAAAGAAGUCACACACACAAGUCCAAUAUUUGAUACAUAAACUUAAAUGACCGAAUUUAAUUUAAUUUAAUUUUUUUUUUACAAAAGAUCACUGAAUUUAAUUUGUUUUUAUUUUAUUUUAUAUAUUGUACAUAAAAAACAUCAAACAAAUCAUUUAUUAAAAGGAUUUAAUUAUAUGAACAUAUACUUUCUUACGGUUAGUUCAUAUGAACAAAUGUUGUUGACGGUGUAAUGAGUAAAAACAAAGUUGUUGACGGUAAAGUGUUUUUGCACAUUUAUUUAAUCACAUCUUACUAGUAUUAAAUACUCACUGUAUUUUAUUAUAUGUGUCUCAUUUGAUGUACGAUUCUUAUAAAAUGAAUUUUAUUUACUAAAAUAUUAUUAUUUAAUUUUUUUUAUCAGAAAUGUAAAAUCAAAUUAUCAAAAAUAGAAAAGAACUUUGAAAUCAAAAUUCAUUCUUCUUGAUUGUCAAAGUAUAUUUAAGACUAAUUGUAUGUUUUUAAUUAUAUCUUUAAGAAAAGAUGACUUUUUGGUAAACUCACAAGUUGAGGUAAUCCACUUGCAUGAGUAAUCAAGCUUUUAAGCAAACAAAAAAAAAAAUCAACAGUUGUUAGAGGUAAUCCACUUGCAUACGUUGUGUUUUGGAUCUCUACAAUUGGAAUACUAAUUGGAGAUGUAGAAGUAUCUUCAAUUUUUUUGGACAUGGUAUAAUUUUGUAAUUUCAAUUUGGUCUCAAUCCGUAGUUUUUAACUCUAAAAAUGAUCCCUCAAAAAAAAAAAAACUCUAAAAAUGAUAAUUUUCAUCGCCAUAAUCGGCUUAUAAGGUAAGAAAUACCACUAUUUAUAAAGACAUUUCAAAACAUAUCUCAUUCAAUUUGGGUAAUUUUAAAACUUCCAUCUGUAAAAUUGAACAUCUAAAAUAUGACACAAGUGGUUCGACUAACAGUUAAUCCAAUAAAUUUAAGAUAGACUAUGAUGCCAUUUUAAAAUUUUCGUUGAAUCUAAUUUAAUCUUACAAAAUCAACUUAUAAAAGGUGAAUCAUUGCUAAAAAUCAUAAUUUUUAGGAUGAAAAACCUGAGUUGGUCCUAAAGUGCAAAAAAAUGUCAAAGUUUGGGGACCAAAAAUUUUGAUUUUAAUAAAGGAGAACUAUGAACCAAAAAUACAAUUAUGCUCUAUAAGAAUCAUGAGUUAUGACAUAUGUAUAUCAUGAUUCACGGUAAAAUAAAAUGGACUAGCAUGUAUUUUUGGGACAGGAUAUAAGUACCAUGUUAUGUGUUCCAAAAGGGACAGUCUCUUUUAUUUGGAUCUAUGCCUCCAAAAUGUGGAAAAAGGGACCCUUAAAAGCAAAAGAUAUUAAAACCCAAAAAAGGGUGACGCAUCUAGUGGCAAGUAUAAUACUAGACGUUUCUAUCUAUCUGUAUAUUAUAUCUACAUCUAUAUGUAUGUAUCAAUCAAGCUUUGCUGUUGUCAGUGUAACAAACACGUGUUACAUAAACAUGACAACAAAGUGAAAAUAAUCAAACCUCAAAAAAGUGUUGGAGGAUUUUGGAUUGGAGUGUAGUGUGUGUGCAAGUGAUAGAUGCACCAACUUUCAUAUCAUAUGUAGUCCAACCUUUACUUCAUGCAACCAUAGUAUAUACACUGUUAUAUUCCUAAAAGAAUUUGUAUAUUCUAUUUAUUUUACUUUAUUAGAGAAUUUUAUAGAAUUGUAUAUACUAUUUAUCCAUACAUGUAGAAUAUAGGUAACGAAAGAGACAUUGAUCAUUCUUGGUUGAUAUAUAGUUAUAAUCAUCAUAAUUUUAUAACAUAUUUUGACCUCUAUGUUGAUUUAUCAACAAAAAAAAUUGUUAAAAGAACUCAAAACAAGUAAUAACUUUAUAUAAUAACCAAUAUUUCAAGAGCACCUUUAGUAAAUUAUUUUAUAAUGCGGAGUGAUUCAAUCUCUUCUUUCCAAUCACAUCAUUCUUAGAAAAACCGCAAUUUUUAAAUUUGGUUAAGUGACAAAUCUCAAAUUAAGAAGUCCAACAUAAUCCUGAGUCGGCUCUUAUACAUAUCCAUUGAUAUACUACAAUCAUAUCUUGCCUUUUUUUGUGUCAUCCAUCAAUCUUAAAAUAAGUGUUUGUGUAUAUCCGUAAAGUAUCUCAUACGUAUCCAAUAAAAAAGAGUAUAAUACGUUAGAAAGAAAGAGAUAGAAAAAAACAAGAUGUUUGAUUGUCCGUAUAAAUUUAGAGGUGAUUAUUUAUUAGAUCUAAUCACUAGAGAUGACUGCAUAAUAAAAAAUAAAUUUACAAAAAUACCCUCUAAUCAUACUUCCUUCAUUUCAUAUAUUUUGGUGAAAUAUUAAUUUGUUUUAAAUUAUUUAUUAUUAUUAUUUUAAUAACAACAAUAAACUAUUAAAGGUGUGUUUCCAAUAAUAUAAUAUCUUUGUCCCUUAGUACAUAUUUGUCUUUGCAUCUCAAUAAACUCUAUAUAAAAUAAUCUUUAUAUUAUUGACCUUAUUGAUUGCAUUGAUUACAUUCACCUGUAUAGUACCUUUUUCCUGUUUUGGUCUCUUUCUCUCACUUUGAUGAAUUCAUAGAAAUUAUUAUGAUGAAGUGAAAAUAGUACUAACCAUCUUAAUAGUAUAGUACUAGUAUCUGUUAUUUCUAAUCUAUCAAUGUUUUUUAUGUCUCUUUCAUUCAUUUUAUUCACUUGCUUACACAAACGGCAACCUUAACUACUAUACUUACUCACACCAACUUAUUCUUCUCUCUCUCUCUACACAAUUCUCUUCAUCAACCAUCAAGUAAGAGACACCUUCACCCUUCAUUUAGAGCAAGGAAUUCUUUUAAUCCCAUUAUACCCUUUACAACUCAUAGUUCUUAGUUCUUACCUUUGUGUUUUGUUUUUUAGUUGGAAUUUAUAUAAGGUUUAUGUUUUAGUAGGGAUCAUAGGUUUAUGUUUGGUUUUUUUCACAUUAAUUAUAUGUACAAAUUUUUAGGUGGAGGGGUUGGCCUAAUUUUGUUUCUUUUUUCUUUUUGACUUUGGUGUUGAAAAUUUGAUCUUUGUGAUUAGUGUUUCUUUGAUGAUUCCAAUGAAAAUUAGAAGAUCAUUUAGAAUUUUUAGUUGAAAAAAAAAGAAGGAAAAAAAUGCCUCAAGGUGGAAAAAAGAGGAUACAUUUUAGCAAACUAUAUUCAUUUUCAUGUUUCAAAUCAUCAUAUAGAGAUGGUCAUUCACAAAUUGGAAAAAAAGGGUAUUCAAGAGUUGUUCAUUGCAAUGAUGCUGAUAAUUUUGAAGCAAUUCAGUUGAAAUAUGGUGGAAAUUAUGUUUCAACUACCAAGUAUACAGCAUUUAAUUUUAUACCUAAGUCUUUGUUUGAACAAUUCAGAAGAGUUGCAAAUAUCUACUUUCUUGUUGUUGCUUGUGUUUCUUUUAGUCCUUUAGCACCUUAUACAGCUUUAAGUAUUGCUGCACCUUUGGUGGCUGUUAUUGGUGCUACUAUGGCUAAAGAAGCUGUGGAAGAUUGGAGAAGGAGAACACAGGUACUGUUUCAAUUUUUCUUUUCUUUAAUGCCCUUAGGUCUUGUUUGGAUAAACAAUUUAUUUAACUGCUUAUCAUAUAAGGGCUUAUCUGUUUUCAUAUAAGCUAUAAGCUGUUUUCAUAUGUUAUCCUGGAGAGCUUAUGGAAAUAAGCUGAAAAACAACGUAAGGACAUGUCAUAAGCUGUUUUAAGAAGUCCUCCCAAACAAUCUCAUAAGUAGUAAUGUCUGUAGAUAAGCUUAAAUAAGUCAAUUCAAACAGAUUCUUAAUUGACCCUCCUCCUAGUGGUAGUUUCUGUAAAGGUUUACAUUUGAAUAUGUCCUAUAAAAUUGUAGUAUAUACUCAAUUGGUGAAAUCAUGCCUUUAUGAACUAGUUUGCAGUUGUGGCUUUAAGUAGAAAGUUAUGAGUAGGUAGGUAGUAUUGCUGAUGUAAUUUGUUGGUACUAAUGCAGUUUUCAAUGUUAAUUAUUUUGUAUGGUGGAAUCAAGCUUUUAUUAAGAAUAUCAAUUAUGAUCUUGAUGCUUCUUAUGGAAUAUUAGGUUGGAAACUAGGCUUAAUAUCUUUAUUAUCUUACAAUGCAGAAAAGUUCAAAAAUGAUUCUAGGAAACUAAUUAAGUGUUGCUUUAUGCCGAAGUAACUUAUGCGUACCAUAUUUAUGUGUCUUUUUGUUUUCAUUUUCUGUUGAUAAUUUGCUUUGGAUAUGCUUCAACUUUGUCCUGUUACGAGUCACAAUUUUCAAUCGUAUCUUUCAAUCUUUAGUUCUAGACAGUUUUCUUUUUCAUUGAUAAAUGCCAUUUUCGAUCGGUUCUUCAGGAUAUAGAGGCGAACAACAGAAAGGUUCAGGUAUAUGGGAAAAACCAUACAUUUGUGGAGACAAGAUGGAAGAAACUUCGUGUCGGUGAUGUGAUUAAAGUGUACAAGGAUGAAUACUUUCCUUCUGAUCUUCUUCUGCUUUCGUCAAGCUAUGAGGACGGUGUUUGCUACGUUGAAACAAUGAAUCUUGAUGGAGAAACUAAUCUAAAACUAAAGCAAGCCUUGGAAGCGACAACUCGUCUUAACGAUGAAAAAUCUCUGCAAAGGUUUAGGGCUAUGGUCAAAUGUGAGGAUCCUAAUGAAAAUCUAUACUCAUUUAUUGGAACUUUUGAGUAUGAAGGUGAAGAACAUCCUCUUUCGUUGCAACAGAUCCUUUUAAGAGAUUCUAAGCUGAGAAAUACAGAAUAUAUAUGUGGUGUUGUCAUCUUCACCGGUCAUGACACGAAAGUGAUGCAGAAUUCUGUUGAUCCUCCAUCAAAAAGGAGCAAAAUUGAGAGAAAAAUGGAUAAGAUAAUUUACAUUCUCUUUAGUACCUUGGUUUUGAUAUCCUUUAUCGGAUCUAUGUUUUUCGGUGUCGAUACCGAAAAUGAUAUUAAUAAUGAUGGAAGUUACAGAAGAUGGUAUCUUCAUCCGGACGAAACAACCGUAUAUUACGAUCCUAAAAGGGCAGGCCUUGCUUCGAUUCUUCAUUUUUUGACUGCCCUUAUGUUGUAUGGAUAUCUGAUUCCAAUAUCACUUUAUGUGUCGAUAGAAAUUGUGAAAGUUCUUCAGACUAUUUUCAUCAACCAAGAUCAAGAAAUGUAUUAUGAAGAAUCAGAUAGGCCGGCUCAUGCGCGGACAUCUAAUUUGAAUGAAGAACUUGGUCAAGUUGAUACCAUAUUGUCUGACAAGACCGGUACGUUGACAUGUAACUCCAUGGAGUUUGUCAAAUGUUCAAUAGGGGGUGUUCAGUAUGGCCGUGGUAUUACGGAAGUGGAGAAGGCACUUGCUAGGAGAGCGAAAAACGGGGAAUCUGAAGGUGAUGCUUAUUCAUCUGAUUUCGUGAAUGAGAGUAGCGAUGUUGUGGACUCUCAGAAGACAGUUAAGGGCUUUAACUUUAAAGAUGAACGAAUAAUGAAUGGACAAUGGAUUAAUGAACCACAUCCGGACAUCAUAGAGAAAUUCUUUCGAGUUUUAGCCAUAUGUCAUACAGCUAUUCCUGAUGUAGAUAAAUCGUCGGGAGAAAUUUCCUAUGAAGCCGAGUCACCGGAUGAAGCCGCAUUUGUCAUAGCUGCAAGGGAGCUUGGUUUUGAGUUUUUCGUUAGGACACAAACAAGUAUUUCGUUGCAUGAAUUGAAUCAUGAAAGCGGAAAAAAGGUUGACAGGUUGGCUAAAUCCUUUUACCAUGUUUGAUAUAACAUCACUGAUAAGCCUGCGUUAUGUUAACUUCUAUCAAUAGGCUUGAACUUUGAACCUGUUUGAUAUUUUGAUCCAUAAUCUGGCAUACUAAGAAAAAAUAAUUUAAAAUAUUUUUGAAAAUCUUUUAUGUAUCUAUAUUGUAAUUUUUGCACAUGCUCAUUCUUUUUGAAUUUUUUGUUUAAUUAUUUAUUGUUGACUUCUUUGAUGAGUAGAGUGUACCAGCUUCUGCAUGUCUUAGAGUUCAGCAGUUCGCGCAAAAGAAUGUCAGUGAUAGUGAGGAACGAGGAAAAUAAGAUAUUGCUCCUAUGCAAGGGUGCAGACAGGUUUCAAUUGCUAUCCACAUUUUUUUAUUGGGUUAAAUAUAUUUUGAGUCAAUAAUUUUCCUCCCUCUAAACAUUUUGUUCAGUUUUCGUCCCUAUUUUUAUUAGUCCAUAAAAAAGUAGUACUUUAGUCCCUGGUCGAUGAAGUUUCAACAAUUUUUGUGUAGGGACUAAACUUGAAAUAUUCUGAAUUUUAUAGGGACUAAAAAUAUAUUUAACCAAUAUUUUGAUAUGACGGAAUUGUUAAGUGUAAGUUGCACGUUAUGAUUGCAAAUUCUGUAUUUCCAUGCAGUGUGAUGUUUGAAAGGCUCUCACAAUACGGAAGAGAGUUUGAAGCCGAAACUAAUAAUCAUAUCAAAAGAUAUUCCGAGGCAGGUUUAAGAACUCUUGUAAUCACGUACCGUGAACUUGGCGAAGAAGAGUAUAAGCAGUGGGAAAAGGAGUUCUCGAAGGCCAAAACCUCUUUAGCAGCAGACCGAGAUGCACUUGUGGAUGCAGCUGCUGACAAGAUGGAAAGAGAUUUGAUACUUCUUGGAGCUACAGCAGUUGAGGAUAGACUUCAAAAAGGGGUUAGUAUAAAAUUUCAUUCGAGUAUUUUUACCUCGGGAUGAUGAAAUAUGAUUGAACGUCUAAUUAAAACUUACUUGCAUUAUCAAUGUCAAUAUAUAGUUAUUAAACUCAGUUUAUGCAUUGCGAUAAUUAAAUAGAAGUUUCUUACACACACACACACGAAAGAACUCAAGAUUCAGGCAUAGAUAAUAACAGAAAAUAUUAGUAUAGCAGAUCCAGUUCUAAAGAAAACAAAUAAGUAAACCGCACAGAAGACCACAAGCGGUUGAUCACGGAGUUUGGCCAAUUGUGCCUACGUCCCUGACAACAAAGUGUCUGCUUUAGUUUUUCGGUUAUGCAACUGCCUUAAUAUAAAAUAUGAGUCAUACUCAACAAAAUAAAUCCAAUAUUACUUAACAACGUUAAUUAUGUGCUUGAUUAGUCAAUGAAGUUAGCUUUGUUUACUUAAAAAUACAGGUUCCUGAAUGUAUCGAAAAGCUUGCUAAGGCAGGAAUCAAGUUAUGGGUAUUGACUGGGGACAAAAUGGAAACUGCCGUCAACAUAGGGUACUUCAACAAGGCUUAUUCUGCUUUCUAUUUCUAAUAAAUGUUGUCAAAUAGAGGCUAUAGUGACACUACAAUGUAGCGGAAUUUCAACAAAUUGCUAUUGUUCUGCUUCUGCCAUACGUGAUUUAGUGCAAAGUACUACUCUCCGAUAGCAGCUACAACAGAACUAUAGUAUUGUAACAUAGCAAAAUUUGAACAAGCCGCUGUUUGUUGCGAUCUGUGAUUGACAACACUGGAACUUUCUAGGGAAGUUUAUUAAGUUGAUACUAAUUGCCCCUCCCUUUUGACAGGUAUGCUUGUAGUUUACUUAGACAAGAUAUGAAACAAAUAGUGAUCACUCUUGAUUCAUCUGAUAUCAUAUCAAUAGAGAAACAAGGGGACAAGGAGGCUCUAGCGAAGGUACACAACCUUGCGGGUUUUUGCAUCCAAUUUUCUCUCAUUAUUUUCGAUCUUUGAUACAAUGAUUGCUUAGGCCUCUCGUGAAAGCAUCGAGAAGCAAAUUAAUGAGGGAAUCUUACAAAUCGAGUCAACAAAAGAGAGUUCCGACACAGCAAAGGAAAUUUCUUCACUUGCCUUGAUAAUUGAUGGGAGGUCAUUGGAGUACUCCCUCAACAACGCUUUGGAGAAACCAUUCUUUAAGUUGGCUAGUAAUUGUGCUUCUGUCAUAUGUUGCCGGUCUUCACCAAAACAGAAAGCUCGUGUGAGUAUUUAGGAUGUGCUAUUUGAAUUUUUUUCCGUAAAAAUAAUGGAAAUUUCUUGUAUAUAAUCACAUCAGCCAAAAAAAUAUGCAGGUUACAAAAUUGGUGAAGUUGGAAACCGGGAAAACAACUUUAUCUAUUGGUGAUGGUGCAAAUGACGUUGGUAUGCUUCAGGAAGCUGAUAUUGGAGUUGGAAUUAGUGGUGCUGAAGGGAUGCAGGUCAAACAUAUAUUUUCUUGAAUUUAUUUCGAUUGUUCUAUUUGAGUAUAAAUAGUCCUUUAGGUCCUUAAAUGUUUCACAUGCUGUCACUAUAGUGACACUACCUCACACAUUUGAGGAUCAAGAUGACUACUUACUCCGUCUCUGUGAUAUUUAUCGGUUCUUGAAAUAGUCAUAUCCCCCAUGUCUACAGAAAGUUAAGAAGUUGAAAAUCAUUUUUAACUUAACUCAAUCUACCAUGUCCUCACGCACAUAUGUUCUUAACUCUUUUGUGAUCUUCUACGUGUCGUCUUCUUAAUAUGUAAAAUUAGUGAAAAAUUUCAAUCAUACAUAAUCAACCUAGUCAUCAAACUUAUGAGUUCAACAUAUAAACUAGUUUUAGACUAAUUUCGAAUCAUACUCUACCAUUUUGAUGCUCUAGAUUCUAGAUGGAUGUACGUGUAAAACUAGUUCAAACUGUCCGUGUGUAGCUAUUAAACUCUGAUUAUCAUCAAGUAACAAAUAGAAUUGUUAAGUGGUUCAGCUGAUCCAUCUAAAUCAUCAAAUGUUUUAUUUCUCAAUUAUGUUCUUCUUUUCUUAAAUAAAACCUUAACAUAGUAAGUAUAUUAUUUUGAAAAAAAUACUAUUUGUUGUCUACAGGCUGUAAUGGCAAGUGAUUAUUCAAUCGGACAAUUCCGUUUUCUAGAGCGUUUGUUGUUGGUGCAUGGCCAUUGGUGUUAUAGAAGAAUAUCAAUGAUGGUAAAAUCAUGCAUCCAAAUAAAUCUGUGUUUGUGAAUAUAUCAUGUAUGUUAUUAUUUAGGAAACUUGAUCCGCAAGAAACUUGGUCACUGAUAUCUUGUUUUAUUUGCUGAUGCAGAUAUGUUACUUUUUCUAUAAAAACAUUGCAUUUGGAUUUACCCUUUUUUGGUUUGAAGCAUAUGCUUCAUUCUCCGGUCAAGCCGCUUACAACGAUUGGUAUAUGUCAUGUUACAAUGUGUUCUUUACCUCACUACCAGUAAUCGCUCUAGGUGUUUUUGAUCAGGAUGUUUCUGCCAGACUUUGCCAAAAGGUACUAAAUUUUCAUUCUUUAAUUUUCAUUCCAUAAUUAAGGAACCCUUGGUAGAUAUGUACAAUUUUUAUUUCCGUAAGUCAAGAGCAUUUAGUACUAAAAAUGUCAUUAAAUAAUGAUAUAGGUAAAUUUUAAUCAAUCUGAAAUUUGUUUCUCACACAUUUAACUUGUUCGGAUUUUACUUGUUUGAGUUUAUUUACUGACAUAAACACUUGCGAUAUGUCCAUAAGCUGUUUUCUUCUUAUUGGGGUAAGCUUCCUAGGAUAGUUUAUCAAAUCAACUAAUAACUUAUAUGAAAAUAGCUUUACUUUAUUUUAUCUAUGGUGGAAAUAAGAUAUAUAUAUAUAUAUAUAUAUAUAUAUAUAUAUAUAUAUAUAUAUAUAUAUAUAUAAGCACUUACAUGAUAUGCGUUUAUAGCAUAAAACACUUAAUUGUGUUGUUUAUCCAAAUAAAAGAUACAUAUGAUUGAACGUCCCUUAUAUAACAUUUUUACAUUGUCAAUGUGUAGUUAUUAAAUUUCGUAAUUACUUGAAAUCCAAGAAACCUUGUGCUAAUCAAACUAUUUUUAUAUACAGCACCCGUUUCUAUAUCUAGAAGGUGUAGAGAACACCCUCUUCAGCUGGACUCGGAUUAUCGGCUGGAUGUUGAACGGAUUCCUUAGUUCCUUGCUAAUCUUCUUCUUAACCACAAAUUCCGUCUUAAAUCAAGCCUUCAGAAAAGACGGUCAAGUGGUAGAUUUCGAAAUACUCGGUGUCAUAAUGUAUACUUGCGCAAUUUGGGUUGUGAAUUGCCAAAUGGCACUUUCAAUCAACUACUUCACUUGGAUCCAACAUUUUUUCAUUUGGGGUAGUAUUGUCCUUUGGUAUGUGUUCUUGGUGGUUUAUGGUUAUAUAUCUCCAACCAUAUCUACAACAGCUUAUAGGGUAUUUGUGGAAGCAUGUGCUCCUAGUCUUUUAUAUUGGUUAGUUACCCUUUUUAUUGUUGUUUGUGUUCUUUUACCAUAUUUUUCUUAUAGAGCUUUUCAAAGUAGGUUUCUACCAAUGUAUCAUGAUAUAAUACAAAGAAAACAAGUAGAAGGGUCUGAAUUUGAGAUUUCUGAUGAGUUACCUAGACAAGUUCAAGGUAAACUAAUACAUUUGAGAGAAAGAUUGAAGCAAAGGGAACCUUGAAAUAUGUAAAAUGUAAAUAUGGUUUGAAACUUACAUUCUUGGAAGUGGAAUUGUAUUUGGUUUGUUGCUUAGUUUGAAAGUGAUAUUCAUUUAGUGAGCAUUGGAAAUAGCUUUUUUUAGAGUUUAUUUCAUUAUUUUUAUUUAUUUUUACAUUUGACGUAGAUUAGCUAUGUAAAGGUUGUAUAUAUUGUUGGAAUUUGUUAAUGGAAGCAGAUAUACAUAGUUUGAUUUAUGCUUUGUGUGUGUGUGUGUGUGUGUGAUCUUAUCAUGUGGAGGAAGUUUUGUAAACAACUUUUUUUUUCUUAACCAUUCGGUUCACAAAGAAUACGGUUAUGAUAAUUCAAAGUUUGACCGAGAAGUAAGUAAAGUCUUAUUAAAUAUUGUACCAGUAAAUUAUCGUAGGAGAUAACAAUGAUAAUGAGCUUUCUUCAAUAUAAAAUGAUAAGAGAAAUAAAAAUUAUGAUUAGUUUAUCUAAUAAGAAAUAGAGUGAAAUUAAAAUUUUGGAAGCAGAACCUAUGGUUAUUUAAGUUGGGUAGAAAUAGGCAAAUAGCAAUGAAGUUAGGUUAAAAGAGAAUAAUAAACAUUUUUUUUUACUUGGUUGUGGAAAGAAAAUAGAAAGACAAAAAAUAAUAAUGUGGGCUUUAGAGUGAAGCUCCGGUGUAGUGCUACCCACACCCCUCUUUUGCUAUCAACAUCCAUUCCUUUAAUGUAAUUUAUAUAAUCCAAAGUGCUCAUCCGUCUACACUAAGUAAACACAUCUCUUAUCAACAAGUAAUACAUUUGAAAUUUAUGAGUUUGUUUAUUUUGUAAAAAUAUUUUCUAUUUUCAUUAAGAAACUCUUGAUGUGAUCAAUUGCCUGCAUUUUCUAGACAUAAUGAAAUUUUCUAAACUAUUUUUAUUAUUUAUAGAAAUGCACCAUUCGCAAAUAGCAUUUUAUCUUUUCUCUAUCAAAUUUAUCAUAAAUUUCUUCUAAAGUGAACAAUUUAUAGAGGGCGGAAUAUGUUCAUCGUAUACAUUUAAUUAUCAUUUUUUGUUCUGAGGAACAUACCAGCAUUACUCACACACAUACACACUUAGUGUUGAGAAAUGAGAAAUUAAAAAUUUGAGUUGUACUUAUGAGACUAAGUUUAAUCUUAUAAUCCACACAUCUAAUCUUUUAUAUAAUUUGAGAUGUACUUGCCGGACCAAGUUUAAUCUUCUUUACUAAUUUUUUCAUCAAUUUGGACUCCAACUAUUCCAAGUUUCUAGAGCUGGUCCUCGUGACGUGGUUUGCACUAAGUGAAAAAAUCAUGUGGAAAUUAAUGCUUGCAUUUUCAUUUGUUCUUUUAGCAAAAAAUGACCACUAGGAUCAUAUCUAGAGAGUGAGAGAAAAAAACUAGGAUAAAAUAUAGUAAAAAUUGAACAUAAAUGUUUUGCGAGAGGAAAAGCAAAUUCAACCCUAAAAUUAAAUGGUGAUUUUAGAUUUCUAAUUGGAUAAUUAAUUAUAUAUUUAAUUAAUUGAUAAUUAAUCAAAUAUUUAGUUCAACAAUUUCAAAAGGGCUUUUGCUGCAGUUAAGUUUGAUAUUGCAAUUUAAGAAACACAAAGUUUAUGGAGACUAUACCUUUGGCCAUGAUGCACUAUUAAGAGACAAAUUACAAACCCUGUUAUUUUAUGUUUGUAGUACUUUUAUAAGAAGAAUUUCAUUUUUUUUCUCAGUUGUAUGGAUCUAAAAUGGCCUUGUAUAAGUGAGGAAUUGACUAUAUUAUAGCCAUCUUUAUAUGUUUUACUAAUGAUCACUAAAUGUUUCAGUAAAAUAUCUAGUUCUGAACUAUGAAAAUGAAUUGUUUUGUUGUAAAUGUUCUAUGAUAAGUGUUGUGGUUAUGUUUUUGGAUUUACAGGUCACAAUAAUGUAUCUUUCUAACCUUCUCAAAUCUCCUCGCCUUGCUCGGAUAUUCUAUGUUGCUUCAUACCGAGCAAUUCUUCCCAAGACCCAACAAUCACAUGUAGUAGAUAUUUCAUUCCUUGCUACACUUUGGUUUAAUAUUUUGUGCAUAGAUAAUAUGCUAUUAGGGGUUUGUUUUUAAUUUCAUCAUCAUUUGAUUUGUUUUUUUGAAUUAAAAAUGACCCUAGUUGUGCUUUUCUGUUUAGCUUAAGCCUUUUAUUUUCUCCAUUAACGUGUUGGGUUACAUUUCUCUAAUGUUUUCACCUUAAUAUUGCCUUUCUUUUUAGCUUUAGCCUUUUGCUCUCUCUAUUAACUUGUUGGGUUACAUUUCUCUUAUGUUUUCAUCCAAAUUAUAGAAAAUUGAAAAAACCACAAAAAUUUAAAGAUGACAAAUAAAAAAAAUUGUCUUUCGUUUCGUUUUAAAUCUGACGAUCAAUUUUAUUUUUGGUCUUUAAUUUCCGUAUUUAUUUCAACUUUUUCUCAGAGUGUAAAGGAAACUAAUAAUGUUAAUAUCUCCUUAAAAAAAAUAAUGUUAUAUCAUUCCAUAGUAUGGUAGCUCAAUUAAGAGGUAUUUUUAUUUGAAAAGGUCAAAAUAAAAUAUAUUACUAAAAACAAACAAACUCUCCAACACAAGAUGUAUUCGAAGAGAAUGUCUCAAAAGAGUUUAACUUACAAUAGAAUCUCAAUGUGCUAUUAGGUAAUAUGUGUCAGUGAUGAAGUUUUUAACUUUUGAUGCCACAAAUUCAUGAGGCUGAUAGUGGGUUAGUGAGGUUAACAAACAAUAUGGGGAGGCUGCAUGGGAAAAUUCUACCAUAUGCCCACUAUGACAAAUCCAGCCAUCAUAUUACAUUAAUUAUAUACUAAUAUUAAUAAUUUGCAAUGAGCAAUAGGGUGGCUAGCUAAUGUUAAUAAACAUUUAUUUAGUUUAUAAUGAGGGUUUAUGCUCGUAUACAUAUAGAAAUGGAGCUCUUUUUUAAAGAUUUGGGGGUUGAACAAAUAUUUGUGAUUUAUCAUUAUUCAGUAGUUUUGUGAUCAUUACUAGUUUACUAGAGUGUAAGGCGGCUGCAUGCACGUGCAGAGUCCCACCAUUGAUUUUUUUUGGGUACAUUUUUAUUUUAUUUAUAACCUAUUGAAAUUAGAGUGUUUGAUGAAUCGUUUCAACGUAUUUCCAAAGAAAAAUAUCGAAUAUAUGUACUUGAUAAAUAACUUUUUGUUAGAACAGUUUCUGUAUAUAAUGUAAUGAUUUUAUUUGAAGAAUUUUUUUUUUUAUUAAAGGAAAAGAAAGUACUAAAAACAAGCAAACUAGUCACUUCUAAAGAGUUAGCCUACGAAGUUCGGGAGAACUAAUUGCGUGGGAGGAGAACUCCACAUUUCUAUUGCCCCAAACUUAACUAGACAAUCUUAAUUAAAAAGCUCUGCAUUUUCUACAAUUUGUUUCCUCGUAGUCUCUACAUUUUUUACCCUAACAAUGACUUAAUUAAUUUCCCUUACAAAAAUAUGUCUUCAUUAAUUUCUAAACCAAUAAUAAUAGUUUUCAAAUAUUACUAAUGAAUCUCCAAAAUUUUGACUAUAAAUAUCAGUGUCCUACAUCAGAAGGGUAGAAAGUCGUCACCAAUUAGGUGUGCAAUAAGUUGAUAGAGUAACAAAAUAACAAUCAACCAAUAAAUAAAUAAAAUUAGGAUGUUUAUUUUAUCCAUAGGCAACUCGUUAUGUGAAUCAAUCAGCACUGUCGUCACAUAAAAUUAUUUUAAUACAUAGCUAGUUUAUGGUUUAUAUAAUAUAUAGUUGAUUAUUAUUAUAUAGAUGAUCAACAUGUCUGUGUCAGCAUUCUAAUUAGGGUCUCCUCUAAGUUUGCUGUCCAAGCAAUGUUGCAUUAUAUAUUGAAUUAUUAAUUGUUUUUCUUCCCCAAGAAAUAUCAUGUUUCAAUCAAAAGUUAUUCUCUUAAACGUGACAAAUCCACUAAAAUAUAUCUACGUCUGCGUAUUUAAUAUUUGAUAUCUUAAAUUAAGAUAAUAUUUUGAAAACUAAAUAAAAUAAUCUAUUUUUCUUUUAGACAGGCUGAUAAUAUUUUUUCUUAAACAAGUUAAUAUGGAAGAGACUAUGUUUCAUUCAAGUGUUUUUUUUAAAUGGUUUAAGUGAGCUGGAUUUCAAGAACUCAUUUGAACUGUAACGUAUUUUAACAUUCAACAAACGUUAACAAAAAUUCUAAUAUAUCAUUCAUUAAAGAGUGCAUCACGUUUGUAACAAAAGUUGAAUCCACACUAUCUUACAAAUGACAAAUAUUUUAUCAACAAAAUUAUUGUUUGAUUACUUCAUUCAAGUACUUUUUGAUAAAGAGUAAUAAUCUAAAACUUUCAUUAUUAUAACUCAAAAAUAUAAUAUUCAUGCAAUUUGUCUCAUUCAUUCACGUCAACCCUGGCGUUUUUUUAAUAUAUAAAAUAUAUUGAUACAACAUGAACUGGAUUUUUGCUUCUAGAAAAUAUCCAUGAUUUGGGCCAUAAGCAAGCAUGCAUUAUUAAUGUGGAUUCUAGAAUGAGUCGAUCAAGACUUAAAAUCAAAUACUUUUUAAUGGUGUAACAAAACAAAAAAAAAAAAAAAACAUUUUAAUGGAAGCUGCCAGGAAAAAAUUGGUGGAUUAAUCGGUUGUUAGUGGAACUAUACUUUAUUUUUUCAUCAUUACAUUUAGCUAAAUUCUUUGGACUUACUUUCCGACUUAACGCUUGACAUGUUUUUUUUUUACAAUAUUAUUGUACUUAGUUUUUCAUUUGUUAGAGAAAAAUUUACGUGAUUCAAUUUUAGAUAGUUUAUUAGGAUAUGAAGAGAUUUUAAGAUUCAGAGAGCGUUUACAACUAAAGAGACUUUCACAUUGAUCACGAAAGUUAAACUCAAGUCAUUAUGAGGUAUGGAUCGACGCCCCAUACAUACCAAUUAAAUAAACUUUGGUUUGGCCUAAUAUUAAUUAGAGAUGCUGUUUUACAAGAAUGGCUCCACGAAGUUCUUAUGGGUAGGUACCAUGCCCAUGAAUCGUGGGACGUGCUAUACACUGUACGUAAUAUACACACUCAUAUAAUCCACAAAAGAAGGGAUUUUUGUUUUUUCUUUUGAUUUAUGUGGGUAGCAUGGGAUGGAAUAUAGAUUAUAAAACUUAGAUAUAGUGCAAAAAGUAUAUUUUAGGUAUGAGAAAUGAUAUUUGAACAAUUAUUUUUUGACAACUUUCUCUCCGAUAUUUACAUUAUCUUUUUAUUUUCUCUCUCUCGAUUACUUUGAUUUUUGUGUCACUAUCUAAAUUCUUUUGUAUAAUUUAGUUGUAUAAGAAGUUGUCACAAUAAAGGAUUGUUCAAAUAACAUUGCUCUUUAGAUAUUGUAAACUUAAAGCAUACCAAAUUUAAUUCUUAGUACUGAAUUCAAGAAUAAUUGUGCGUUUUAAAUUAAUAGAGAGGAAGAAAAAGAAAAACGUUGGCCCUUGGUGAUCAAUCUCAUGACUCCUAUUAUGCAGUGAGUUAAAAAAAAAAACACAAGUUACUGCUAUCAAACCACUCCGAUUAUGAUCAAAAUAUCCAAUUUUAUGUGACUGAUGUGCGUUAAAAGUUUAACAUUGAAUGCAAUAAUAUCCGUACAUAAGUUAUGCUCGAUCCAAAUUCUAAGAUUAGGUCCCAAUAAAUUUGAUACUAGAAUCAACAUGCCAUGAACAUAUGAUGUUAAGCUAUCAUAUGACAUGUGAAAAAGAUGUUAUUACAUGGAAGAUUUAAUUUAAAUGUACUUUAUUAAUUGUUUAUACUAACCGUAAAUCAAAUUUAAUAUAUUUACUAAACAGUAUUUUUCUCUUCUCUUUCCCUAAAAAAAAAAGUAUUUUUCUAUUCUAUAUAUUUUUUUCAUGGGUCAAAGACAAAUUUGUUAUCUUUCAAAGUAUUCAAGUAAUUAAUUAUACGUUCAAUUCAUUUUCCCAUUCUUUUGUUUACUAGUAGUAUUAUUAUGGGUAAAAGAAUGACUGGAUAGAGAAAGAACCUACAUACAUUUAUGAGUAAAGACUUCCAUUACAUGAAGUCAAGAUUGUAAACUACUUAGAUGCAACUUUUCUAGAUGUGACAUGGCUGCGAAAGUGAUAAUUAAAUCCUAAUAUAUGCACUUCAAAUGUAUGCACUUCAUAACUAGAUUUAUUUAUUGUGGUAGUUGUGGAUAUUUUAGUUUUUUUUUUUUUUUUUUUCGUUUGGUUCAAGUUUGAGUAUGAAUAUAUUAGAUUUGAUAGAAUGAUAUGGAUGUAAACAAGGCAUGCUUGUCCGCCAGAAGUCCAUAGUUAAGCUAACUAAAUGUUUGAGUAUGAAUAUAUUAGAUUUGAGCUUAUGAAUUAUAAUUUAUAAUUUAUAAGUUCUUAUAAUUAAAAAGGAAAUGCUAAUUUGUGCACUUAGGAUACAAAAUAAAGAUUUUAAAAUAGAAUUAAAUUAUAAAUAUUGUAUUGAAAAUAUAAGUUUUUAAGGUUAUAAAUGCACAAUUUUCAAUGCUAAAUUUUUUUAUUUAAAUUCUUAUGUUGUGCCCUUAGGACACAAUUUUCAUUUUUACACGAGUUCAUAGCUUAUUCUCAUGAGCUUAUAAUGUUUUUUGAUAAGUUAAUUCAAGUAUCUUAUUACUUGUCACUUUUUAUCUUCAUUUUACCCGCUACAAUCUUAAUUGAAAAUAUAUUAAUUAAAUUAAUAUUUUAUGUCAUUUCAUAUUUAUAAGUUAUUUCAACCGUUAAUUUUAUCAAACACUACAAAAUCAAUAAGUUAGUUUGUUUGUAAUCAAUUAUAAAUUAGCUUAUAAGUCACAUAUUAUAAACUCUUAUGCUAUAAGCUAGUUUACCAAAUAUCAACUAUUUUUUUUACCAAACAAAGCCUAAAACAAUUUGUAAAUAAACAAUAUCAAUAAAAAAAUAAUUUAGAUAAAUAAUACACCCUCGUAAAUACAAUUCAAAUAGCUAACAAAUAAUGUUAGGAAAGAAAGAAAAAGAAAAAAAAAAAGAUAAUUUAUAAUAUAGGCUAUAGUAAGAAGUAUAUGACACAUGUGAUUGAUCAUCCAAACAAUAAGGUAAUUUCAUGUCUAAUACUUCACAUAGUUGUUAAAGUAGUACUAGUCAUGUCGUCAAACGCUAACAUGGACGAGUUGUACACGUGAAGGCUAUAGGCAUGAACCAGCUAUGUCUAUCUUCACGUGUAUUUCUCCAUGUUAGCAGCUCCAUUAAGUCGGAUACGAAGUUGAGAGACUGACCAAAAUCGAGCAAAUUGAAUUAGUUUACAUAGAAUUCAUUAUACAUACAAAUUUACAGUCGAGGUCUUAAGUUUAUAGAAACUUAUCCACCAGUGCCAACAGUUGUUUCAUCAUAUAGAUAUUCAAAGUACGUACCCCCCCAUCCACCAAUGUCCAUCCAAUUAAUUUAAACGUACUGUAGUAAUCAAAUCUAGAAACAAUAUGUAGCGUUACAUAUUAUGGUAGAUGUAUCACACAUAUACACAAGAAUAUAACCUAAAAUUUAUAUCACAUUGCUAUUGGUUGAGACUUUCCAUUACCCUAAAAAGCCAUAGCCAUUUAUUUUCCAACAACUGUUUCUUCCCAUCUUAUAAACCACAACUUUCACAAAGUAAAACGUUUUUUUUGUUCUUGAUAAUAAUACAGUAAAACGUUAUUUUCAUAAUUAUGCCUUUCCAUUUGUCAAAAAAUAAUAAUGUCUUUUUCAAGUGCAAGACACUUUGCACCAAAUUAGUAUACAAGCAAAACGAAAUAUUUGUUUGAACAAAAAAAGGGCUUUGUUGGUGUGUGUGACAAGUCAAUGCAAAAUGUGUCAACAUAAAUCAAACACAAAUGGUUGAAGAUAAAGAAAAA